rnacentral:lncRNA from 1 species
GGGGGAGAGAGGUGGACGAAGUCCUCCAACUCCACUAUUUUGAAUGAAACAGGCGCCAAGAGCCUUUUUUCAUUUUUCGAAGACUUAAGUGAAGUCGGCAAGCCAUGUUGGCUUCACUUAAGUCUUCAAAAAUUAAAAAGGGGUCUCCGACCCUUGCUUCAUUCGAAAUAGGGGAGUUGGAAGCCUCUCUCUCUCUCUCGCCCCACCCCCCCCCUUCCUUUCCUUUUUCUCCCUCCNNNNNNNNNNNNNNNNNNNNCUCUCUCUCUCUCGCCACCCCCCCCCCCUCCUCCUUUUUUUCUCCCUCUCCCCCUCCCUCGUUGGUUUCUCGAACUAAGGGGUGGAACCAUGCUGGUCUGCCCCAAUAUGGCUCAAUAUGGCCCAAACUGGAUACCACCUUGACUCCACUAGACAAAGGCAACAAUUUUUGUAAUCAUAUAAUAUAUAUCAAUAUAUUUAUCUUUCUUUGUAUCUACAUAUCAUAUCUUCUAGGCAAGCAGCUUACAUCUUUAAUAUUUCAACUAAUAAUUAACAUGGUUGACAAAAAAGACAACACCAAAUGAGCUUCGAGAACUAGGAUAUUAUAAUAGUCAAAAAGGAAAUUGCAUUAACCAAGAAUUUGACUAGAUAUAGGAUAUUUACCAGCAAAAUUGCUUCCACACUUGUACGCAUACCUUCUUUCAUGUAACUGCCAUCCAAAACAAAGAGGAAUCAAAUGUCAACCACAUAGAAGCAACAUUCUUAAUCCUUCCCAUAUCCAAAUUGUCUUGUCAACAAUAUGAGGUUUCAGCCAACAUCAACUUCUACAACAUUUGGGUAAAUAAAAAAGAAACCUAUCUCAGUAAAGGAGUGUCUGGACCAGAAAAAUCAUAUUUAAUGUACUAUGGCCAUAUAUUGGGUACUUAAAUUAUUCAAUAAGCACAGAAUUUUAUUUUAUCAAAAAAAUCUACUUUGAUUAGAAGUUCACGAGUUCUAUAAAAAUUCUAUGCCUUAGUCAUCUUCAAUUACUAGCUGCAAGCAAACAACUAGCUUCCAAAGAGUCUCAACUUCUCAAUAUCCUAUACUCUUUGAGCUCAAUUCUGCAUCCCAAAUUAUUAGUUUCAACAAAUACCAAAAGAAAAAUCACCAAUUUUGUUGUCUAAAUAAGCAACAAGUUAUUUUUUGUCAAUAAAUGAAAACGACAUGAUGGGGCCAUGAGCUCUAUUAUUUAGCCAUGGCAUCUCUCCAGCUUCGUCAACCGCCACACUUAAGAAUAUGCAAUAUGUUUUACAUAACAAUCCUACAAGAACAAGCAUUUAAAAGAUGUCAUUGUUAACCUACAAGCUUAGGCAAUUAACAGAAUUUGAAAAAUUUAACCUACUACAUGACACAACUAACAGCAUCUUAUGUAUGCAUAUGCUGUUCUAAACAACAGAUCGACACAUACUGAUAUGGUUGUAACACAGAAACACAAAAGCAUAGAAAAAAAUCAGAGAGUUAACAGGAAACAAAAUUGGGCGAGUCUGAAUAUGCUCAAGAAAGACUAAUAAAAACAAUGUUCUAUAUGCCAAUGGAAAAGCAUGGCAUCCCACAAUCACAAGUGUCGAGAUAGGAUGCAUCAGGAAAUGGACUAGAAUAGGAUGAGACAUCAACCUCCACAGUGUUGGUACAUGAGGCAUCCCAUUCCAUGGAAAACUGGGAAGGCCCCCAUCCCAAACUAUUUAAAACGUUGUGUAAAAAAGGAAAAAAAGAAAGAAAGAAAAAAAAAGUUAAUACUAGCGUCAUAAGACUAUAAUGAAAAACAAUAAUGCAUAUCAGCAUAAGCUAAAGCGAAGCAACGGAGGAAGGUGUAAACACACUUGAUAUCAUCAAAUAUAAGCAGCUACUACAUGGUUCCAAUUCCCAUAUGAAAGCCCUUAUUCCAAUGUAACUUCCCCCUUCAUCACAUUAAUUUUGGAUUUUUGGAAAUCGGGAAGCAAGGGAUGCCAACAAACAUGCAUCUACUUCAUUUAAAUAUGAAAUUCCUAAUUUUACUUUUUUUUUGGGUAACUAAAUUAAAAAAAAAAAAACUUUAGAGGAAGAGGGAACAACAUUCAAUCAAAAGUCAGAUACUAUAAAGGCUUAAGUGCCUGCUAAGCUACACAGCAAAACUCAUUAUAAUUAUAAGGCAAUUCUAGGCCUCUUUAGUUAAAGAUCUCAACAACGCAACCAUAUAUUCUAACUUGAAUGAGUGCAAGAUUAACAAGGCCAGCUAGUGAAAAACUUAAAGAGAUUUUUUUUCUUUUUUCUCCACAGAUUACAGGUUUUAAGGAUCACAGGUGCCAAGCAUAGCAAAUAAUAAGUUUAGCAUUGCAUAGCUCAAUAUCAAACAGUAGAUAACAGUAACACAUUUAGAUAACAGCAAUAGAAGUAUAAGCUAUUGUAUCACAACAUGGGAGGAGAAUGAGAGCAAUUUUAAGUACUGGACUAAGGAAAGGAUUCUACAAAGUCAAAGAAAAUAUGAGACCAUGAAGCCCUAUGAUGCUAGGAGAAUAGCAUUAAGAGGCAUCAUCCUCUUAAAAUUAGAGGAAAGGGCAAUGAUUUUGCUCCAGGUCCUUUGCUCAAGUAAGAGCAAUAAAAUUUAUUAUAUUAACUGACUACUAUAUAGAGCUAGAGGGCCCUCAUAGGUAUUCUUCUAAACUUAUAAUAUGUUUUUCAAAGAAAAGAUUAAACUACCAUUACUUUCCCCAUCCAUCACUUUGAAAUCAGUUCCCCUCUCUCGUUGGUAGUUGUCUCGUUCAUCCAAACGUCGUGGGGCUUCCUCCUGCCAAGGCUCCACCUCUUCCAUCACUUCCUUUUUGACCAGCUCCUCAAGCCUUUCCGCUCAAUGGCCCACCAUCAUCAUCAACAACUAUUAUGGCUCCCCACCAAAGACUUCUACCACUCAACCCAGUAUAUAUUAGAUUUCAUUGUCGUCGCCCUACCUUAAUUCCAGCCCAUCGUCCCCCAUCAUUCACCUCUACAAGGCCCAACAGUUGACUCAUCCCAUUUCCUGCCCUGCCUCCCACACCGGCAACUCCUUCCAAGGUAUCCCCUCCAACGGACCUCUUGCACCAUCAAAUGCCCUCGCUCAACCACCAUGUCCCCAUAUAGCAACUGCUACUCUGCCACCAAGCACCAUUUCUUCGAUUCCUCCUUCUAAUGCUGCCACUACCAUGUUAUCCACUCCUUAUACUUCUCCCACCUCCUCGGCAAGGAUGCAUGGCUUCGAUUCAAGGCUAUCGAAUGCUACCUCUAUGCCAAUUAUACCACCGAGAGUGAUAAGCAUACCACCUUUUUCCUCCAUCCUGUUUGCACAACCCUUUGGAGGGUGACCACAACCAAUCAUAACAUUUGGUGGUUGCCUAUUCCUUUAUCUUGUGGCUUUCUUUUCCUAUAUCAAAUCAAGUAAACCAAUAUAGUCUUUUGAUGUAGGUGGAGAUAGAAGGAUAUAACAAAAAAAUUGGUAAGGUGCAGAGAGCGAAAGAGAGAGAGAAAGAAGUGAUGGAUGGAAAGGAAGAGUAAUUUAAGGAUUGGAAAAACAAAAAUCAACCUUUUUCUUUGGAGGGCUACAAUAGUCCAUUUACAUAAGACAAAAUAUGGUGGCUCGAGAAAAGUGAAAUAGAUCUCUAGCAAUACGAACCCCUUUUGGAUUACAUGGAAAUUCUAGUCUAGCAAAAAACAAAGUCAAAGAGUCAAAUUCCAGGGCCUGGUUGGCAAAGACAAAUUUAUAACUCUACAAAUGAUAUGGAAGAAAGGCAAUCAAAUGCUGGAGAUUCAGACUAUCAGAAAAAAUUGUCUAUUUUUCUGAUACACCACAACCGUGCCUUACUGGUUGCCGAGUUUUGUAAUAAAUUAUGUGAUUCAUAAAAUUCUUUUAAUUCAUAAAAACUGAAAAACAAGCUCUAUUGCAAACAAGGCCCACAAGAUUUUUUAUUGUAGGCUUUCAGAAAACUUAAAAGCCUACCUAAGAACCAUCUACAAAUAUCAUGGCUAAGGAAUUACAUAUUCACGUAGACAAAUCAAUACAACAAGAAAAUUCAUAAUCCAAUCACAGUUCAAGAGACACCCAUUUUUUUUUUCAAAUUACAGCUAUAAUGGAAUGAACAAACAGCUAAUUUUUCACAUGCACAUCAAGCCACGUAUAAUUGGCUAAAACGGAUUCCCACCAUGUGACAACACUAAUCCAUAGGUUCAAAUCCAUACAUAAGAACGAAAAACACACUACGUACAUUCUGUAGAAUUUUUUUUUUUCAAUAUAUUGCACACCUGAUAAUUCCUUAUCGCAGGCUAACGCGUUUAUUAACAUUUUUAAGAAGUCAAAAAACAAACGAUUUUGAUUCUAGAUUCUCUGUCUCCAAGCCCAAACGUUUCGAUCUUUAUUGAAAAUCCACAAAAAAAAAUAGCAACUGAAUUCAUUCACGUCCCCAUUUUCUCCAAAUUAGAAAGAAAUAAUAGAAAAAAAGGGGAAAACCAAAUCAAGUUAGGUUUUUCGGAGUCCUUUCGAUCUAGGGUUUUAGGGAAUGGAAAGGGGCCCACUUGACUUUCAUACGAGCGAGGCGAUCGGCGACGGAGGUGUCCUUCUCCAUCUUCGGCUCCUUCGUCCCGAACGUAUAGCUCGACAGCGGGUAUGUGUUCACCACCGGCAACACUCCCAUCUUUCGCCCGCUCUUCGCCCCUCCCUCCCUCCUUCCCUCUCUCUCUCUCUCUCUCUGUCUCUCUCAGCGGACGGCGGAACGCCGGAAAGAAGUCCAAAGGAAGCGCUUUGAGCUGUUGUUCACGGAAAUGGGCAUCGUGGAGUCAUGUGUAAAAUUACUAUUUGACUCCGACACAUUUAAUACAAUGACGGUUGAGUCCCUGACUGCACACACUUAAAGCGGAGAAAACCGGAACUUGGGAAAGGCAACAGUGCUAUUAUUACUAGCCUAUAAUUAGAUUCUCAAUUAAAGUAGAAAGGUUGCUCUCAAUCUGAGCCGCCGGUCUGUCCUUCUUGUCAAACUUGCAAUCCUUGGCCAUAUGGUUAAUCCUACCACAAGAAAAAUAAUAGAUUGGUACAUGUCCAUAGGUGAAUUGCUGCUAGAACUUCCUCUUUACUUCAACGUCAAUACGAACCACUAGAGGUUCAUCAAGGUUCACCAAAACACAAGCGGUUGCAUAGUCCCGUUUCAACAAAGGUUAUUAAGCUACAAUGGUUUGUUUCCUUAUUGGGCAACCACCCAAAGGAUGACAUCUCUUUUCCAGUAUUCCAACAAGAGGUGAAAUGGUACAUCCAAAUAGUAGCUAAGUUGAUGGAAGGACGGGGGUUGUAUCUUCUUCUUCUUUCCUAUGAAUCUCCCGGUGGAUCGUGGAAUGGCCACUUUGAGUUCUAUACAUGUAAAUAGAUGAAGAAGUUUGGAAUGCUUUGAGAUCUAUAUAGAAUGUGAUUCAAUAAUUAAUAUCGUGAAAAAAGAUCAAUCAUUCCUUGAUACAACCUGAACUCUGAUUGAAGAUGACACCUUAAAUCAGAGUUUUUAUCACGGUGAACUAAAGCCCUGACCUCUUGCAAUGCAAGGAUCAGAUGCACCAACUUCCAUCACAUUAAUCUCUGUUCUAAAGCGGAAGAGAUGGGGGUUCCCACAUAGGAUUCAUCAACGUCUUCACCAAAUAAUCAUCUUUUGAUAUCCUCCUAAACAAGGCAAGCCACAAAUCCUUUCUCUGGUGUUGAAGCUUCUCAUGGUCCAACUUGAUAAUAUAAUUAAACGCAGAGCAGAACUCAUCUCCACGUCUUUUAACUUCCCAAGUAACCCGUCUUGAGUUCUCUCUAGCAACGCUAGCCCAAGAUCUUUUGUUCCUGAGGAGGGUAACCUAUAUCACACUCGCCAUCUACUAAUGCUAUCAGAAUGGUGGACAGGGAGGACUAAGUUCAGCUAGCGUUCCCAGAUUAGAAACCAUCGCCACCUCGCUGUUGUACAGGAACCAAGCCAAGCAAUCAAAUAUUCGAAUAGAGAAGCUAGAAUAAAAACAACCCAAAGAGAGACUGUGACUAGAAACUAAAGUAAUCAAACACUAAACAAGAUAGAAUUCCUUUCAGCAGGCAUGAAGAGUCCACAGUGAUUGAACACCAGAGGAACAGCCAACACCCAUAGAGCUCAGUUUGAGAAGAUCUGGGAUUAGUCCAAGCUUGAAUGCACCUUUCGAAUCGUUGCUCAGACCUUGCCAACAUCAGCAAGCUCUUUUUGAUUUCAUAGGAGGGACCAGUCAUUGAAAAGAUAAAUUCCUUUUGAGUGUAAUGAAAGCAAUAGUGCUUUUAUGAAGAUUUUUGCAUUCCUUUCCUUCCAGCAACACCAUAAUAUGGCAGCAAUGAGCAUAAGAAUUGCAGCGUGCAUAUCCUUGUAAAAAUGACAUGACAUGGCGUUUCUUCCAAGUUGUUGGAAAGAUUUUCUCCCGUUUGACACCUGAGUAAAGAAAUCUUUAAGGAAGCACUAGAAGUUUUACCAGAAUUGCUGAGCUUCAAAUAACUUUCACACCUAGUUGUAAACCAUCAUUACAUCUCACUUUCACUUAGUCCACUAUUAUAUUCGUAGUAAUUCAGAUGUGCAAAUUAAUGCAAGCUCCAAACGAGAAAUAUCUGACGGCUGUCGAGCAUAUCCUUCAAUUGCUCGAGGAUACAAUUACAUGGGAGUUUGUUUUGCUUGAAACCAGGCUCACUUGAUCUUUCUGAAAUGAUGAUGCUGAUUGGGUUGGGUUAAGUGAUCCACCAAAGGAUUCUGCAUUUUUCUUCGCCCAAGUACCAUCUUAUGGCCAUCCUAUUUUUAAGGCACUCAUGGGGGCUGGAAAAUUUCAACGUGCAGGACUCCAAGACUCUUGGAUUAUAACUAGAGUGGAUUAAUAAUUAAAUAUUGACCACUAUUAGAGUCUUAAUUAUUAAUUUAUGUUGUUAUAAUGACAAGUCAUAUAUAUGAUGAGAAUAAGGCUCGUCAUUACAAAUUCAUGCUGUUUAUGGAGUUAAAAUGUUUUUAAAAUUUCAAAUCUUUGUACCAGCUAAUAAAAGUACCAGCCGUUAAACCUUGCUAUAUGAUGAGAUUUAUUUAGAUAAAUAUAAAGUCAAGGGUCUAUUUGGCGUCACUUUCUUAUUUUUAUUUUUAAAGAUGAAAAAAUAUUUCUAAGACAGAAAACACAUUUGGCAUAAUUUUAUUUUUUUAAAAAUAAUUUUACUACUUCUCGAAAAAAUGAAAUUGAGAUAUUCUUUCUUUCAAUAUUUUCAAAAAUAAAAAAUUAUAUUAUACCAUCAUCUAAGCAUCAUCGUCAUCACCUUCACCACUACCAUCAUAACUGCCUCACCAUCUUUGCUGCCAUCAAUCCCAUGAUUAUUAUUGUCACCACAUCAAAUACCAACUUUCCAGCUACCAACUUUUCAGCUACUAACACCGUCAUUAUUGCCUCCACCAAUUCCACUACUGCCGCAACUAUCCUAAAGCUGCUUCCAUCAAGACCAUAAUUACCAUAACAACUAUUGUUACUGUCUCUGCUAAGACACUAUUGUCCCCCAUAUUACUACCACUAUUCACCACCAAUAACAUCAUGGACAUCGCUGCAUCAAUUAACACCAUCACCGUCUCACCACUAUUACUGCCGCAUACCACUGAUAUCACUAUCAAUGUGCCACUUUCACAUCUACCACCAUCACUGUCACAUUUAUAUUUUAAAAAUAAUUAAGUAUGCCAAGCAUAUUUAUAUUUUUAAAAUUAAAAAAGGGAAGUGAUGCUAAUUUUAAUAGCAAAGUGAUCCCAAAGUUAGCACUCAUCUACAAGCCUGGGUACAUCUGCGAGGAAUGAUGACUAAAAAUUAGUAAACAGGGAAACUCACUGAUGCCGUAUGACAAGGAAUAUUACAAAGAAAAUUACUAGGCAUAAUCCACCUUUUCCCUCCAUCCCCGUGUCGUUGUUGCGAUUGUCAACCAGGUGCAAGCGAACCGCAAAAAUAGCAUAAAGAAUAAGCAAUUAAGCAAGGGAUGGAUGCUCAUCGCCCUUCUGCUUGUUUAUGGAUGACCGCUCGUGAUUGCACGCAGGAACUUGAAGAGUCUGCAUUUUGACGCUGCCUGGAUGAACCCAUACUCAUCAUGCAUGAAAUCGUAACUCCGUCUGCCUCACCGAAAAAAUGAUAAAAACAAAAAUAAAUAAUAAAAAGCACACAGUGGAUCACUCAUUUUUAAACACGUCAAAAUUCGUAAACUGGCUAUGUGUCAGUACUUGGGCUGUCGGGCAUGUUUCAAUGCAUUUACAAGAACUAAAAGGCUAGAUGUCUUCAUAUUUCAAAAAGCAGGUGGUCCCCAACUUGAGGGCAUGGAUGUCCAUAAGGCAGAUCUUACGUGUAAUCAUAGUUAGAUUUCUUAUAAAUUGCCAUCGCAUCCUCCAAGCUUUACUUUGGCAAGUGUGAACAUGCUUCCACCUAAGGCCAGAUUUUUCAUUUUAUGCAAGUGGUUAACAAUGCUAGUGAGACAACCUGGCUAGAUCACAAAUUGGUAAUAGAAGAUGAACCAGCCCCAGUCAUACAGAUUAAGCUGCAUAUCCAAAUGGUCAGUCAUCACAGAUAUUCUCUUGUCAAACAUCUAUUGGAAGACAAACUCCUACAUUACAAAGAAGACAAACUUUUUCUAUCAAAAAAAAAAAAAGAGGACAAACUUUGAAUUCGCUUUACCGGCAAAUGAAACAGAGAUCAGUCCGGUAGACUAGAUGAAUGGUGCCCACUGUACUAGCAAUCCGAGGGUAGGGGAACUGGUGGUGCUUCCCAAUGGCAAACCAUGCAAAGAGAGAGUAUCUCAAGAUGUACAGACUGAAUUUGUACAAGAGAGAGCAUAAUGGAGUACUCCAGAUGGUAAAAAGGUUCGUCAAAAUUCUUUUGCAACGCUACAAACUUUGGCCAAACAAGGAAUAUUUAAGUGCUAUUUAUUUCAAAGGAAUAACUUCAUCUGCUUGUUUACAAACCUUCAUUCACGACUAGGUAACUUUUGACAUCAUCUCUAAUCUCUUUUAAGAUAUUCGAACAAUCUCUCGUCAACCCAUAACCCUGUUGGCUCCAGGCACUCCAGUGUCUCCAUGAUUGAAGCUUUGGAGCUGUUCGGCUUGAGAGAUUUUCCACAGGCCAAGGCCAUGCAACCAAGCCUAUCACUAUAAUAUGAGAAUUGCAAACCACAAGUUACAGGCGCGUGAAGCUUCCAUGGCAACCCAAUUGUAACCGGUAAAAAGAAUAAUAAGCUUCAUCCAAGGGCUUUCCAACAUUUACAUGAAAAAUCAAUUAGGUUGCAACCAGAAAGCACGCUGAAGGAUGAUUAUAUUAGGGAUGAUACAUUCAAGCAAAGCAGGCUCUCCAUCGGUAGCUGGACAUCCCUAGCUUCACAAGCAACCACACAAACAGCAUUAAGAGAAAUAUCAAGAAUAUCAGAUGUGAAAACAAGUUAGGAUGCAACAUGUUGACUUCCUGUAAAAACCAUGUGAUUCAAGGAGUGAAAUAUCAAGUCCUGGUGGUGUGCCAACCUUGCAUUGAUAUGUCACAUGCCAUGCCGAGCCAGGCCAUUCGUUGGUGCACACACUGGCACCACAGCAUGCCCAAGUAUCGGCAGUCAACUAAUACGUGUUAGUGUCAUGUGCCAUUAAGGCAUUGGCAUAUGCAUCGUGCAGUGCCAUGCUGAAUGGCACUCAAGUCCAUCUAUGAUUCAGAUAUCUGGGGCAUGUCUGCACAUCUCAUCACCAUGUUCAUGAAAUAUCUUUUGUGCAGACGAGAAUUGCUAAGCACAGAAUUGGAUGGAAGAGACGUGAGAAGUGAUUGGUGGAGGCAAUUUUUCCUCAAACUCAGGUUUCUGGGUACGAAAUUAUGCCUAAUAUGAUGAUUUAAGAUAAUCCUGAAAAAUCAUUUAAGACUCCAGGAUUUUUGGCCUCCCAUAUUCUCUCCAUGCUUUCCCACUUGUAGUGGAAAGAUCCCAUGGAUAAACAUUGUUAGACAUCCAAUUUGGCUCUAAAAUUGUUAGCAGAUUUGAAACACACCAACCUUUCAGAAACCGAUGUUCAUAAUCAUCUGGGCUGCACCACUCUGUAAUUGAGCACCAAAUCUUCAGACUUCUUCCAUAUGUAAGUUCUGACAGUGGCCAAACUCAUUUCAGGUGAUAAGACCUACAUCACAAGGAACUGCAUUAGAAGUAGAUGAAAAGGGCAAAAAAAAAAAAAUCUAUAAACAACAGAUAGAGAAUGAAGACAAUUUUCAGCUCACUAUUUUCAAAACUUCACCCUUUUUUAAAGGGAAUUCAAACAUGCACCUUUACAAGCCCAAUACAUAGUUCUGAGAGAGGAAGGGUUACCAACCCGCACUUAAUAAACCAAGUUCAGAUUUUCGGGAUACACCACCAAGAAUCAAAGCCAGAACCUCUUGUUGCUAAGAAGAUAGGUGUGACCAAUGGGGCAACCCCAGUUUACAAACCCAAUAGAGACUAUAUAGUUCAAAAUGUAACCAUUUUUCAUAUACUAUAUUUACUCUGCAGCAUGUUCCUAUUCUAGUUUUUUUGGGAAUGAAUUGUCAACGAACUUCAAACUAAAUGCCAAAGUUAAAAGAACAAACUAUGUUGAUGUGCUCUCCAAAUGCCUUAAUGGGUAAUCAUAUAUAUUCCAUGAUAUGGUAAUACUUUUGACAACUCAUGCUAACUCUAUAUUAACAACAUAAUCAUAUUAUAAGUAGAAGCCAAGGAUGAGAAAUGAAAAUGAAUGAUAAGCCAAAAAAUCAACACAGAAUAGACUAAACCAAAAUUGCUACAAACGUUGAUAGCAGAAGCACUUUAUCAUAAGCACAUAAGCAAUUUUAGUUUGGCACUUUAUCUAAAUCUAGUUUGGUACUUGAGUUCAUGUCCAUAUUUGACCAAUUCUGAUACAUAAGCACAUUCAGCCAGAGUUUAUCCAUCCAGUUUCCAAUGCUAGCAACCAAGAAAAUAAUAAGUAUCACGCUUGUGGCAAACAAUCUCACUAUUCAAUUCUAGAAUAGAGAAGCCCCAAGAUGCCAAUUUGUCUCACGUUUGCUGUUAAUAAACUCAUGGCUUUCAGUCCUAGAACAGAAAACAAAACCUUACAAUUCCAUUCUGGACAGUUUCUCCGAACUUGCCUGAUUAUUGCACAAGAUUUCUAUAGAUGGCUUUAGCUUUUGCCAUGGCUUUAUCCCUGACCGCAAGUAACCAUCUGCAAUGGAUGAAAGCUGUGAUUGCCCGGUACUCAAUCCUAAACCAAAUGAUCCAUCAGAGCUACCAGCAUCAGUUGGUUUAUCAAGAACCAUUUUUUCGAUCACAUAGUUUAUCACCUACAGUGUAAAGAAAAGGCACCUGUCAACAACAAAACUAAGAGAUGCACAGGAAGUUAACAUACAAAAAUUAACCUAUUGGAAAAAUCGGGAAAAAGAGUGACUUCUCAUAGAAAGGGGAUAAGAAAAGGUCAUAUUAAGUAACAUGCUCAUAUUCAGAAUUAUCACAAGCUGAUAGCGUGCAUGAAACAAACAUGAGAAUUGCAAAGCCUUUUAGAUUUCCCAUGAACUAUUGCUAAAAAAUAUGAAGCUUAAUUGAUAAAGUUAAGAUGCUCCAGUUUUAGACAUAAUUUUCCCAAACAAGAUGGUCUAGGAAAUUAAGCUGGAUAAAUAACUCGGGCAACAGAUCUUAUGAGAAUGUAGCCAAUGGGUGCUUAACAACUAAGGAAACCAACUGACUACUUACUUUGUGUAUCCGCAAUAUCCGUGGAGCACUCAAUUUCCCCUGUGUGUGGAUUUGCACAUUCGAACCUUCACAAGGUUGCAAAUAAAAACUACACCUGCAGGGGAGAGAAAAUAGUCAAGAUCACUAAAGAAUGAAGUCAAGAUAACACUUGCCAAAGAAAGUUCAAUGUAACCUUUCUCUUUAAUUCUCGUUCCAGGAAGGUGGGUGGUACCUUUAAUAAAGACUAUACUACUAUCAUUGUCUCCACCUAUGUUUAGCAAAACAGCCAUAACCAAAAAUCUGAAGUCAGAGCAAAAUAUUAAAAAGAACAGCAAAAUCUAGGAUGUUGAAACCUGGAGGCUAAAACUAAACAGACGCCAUUAGCAUGGUCAAAAUUUUAAAUCCUGUGGGAUAGGGCUGUUCCGAUUUUCCGAUAGCAUGGGAUGUACUGCCAUCCCAUCCUAUUCUGAUAUUUGGGACAGAAGAUGUCCCAAGACAUCCCGAUUAGAACGCUAGAAUGCUAACGGGAUGACCCUAUCAAGAUUUUAAAUCCUAUGUGAUGGAGGUGUCCCGAUUUUCCCAUAGAAUUGGAUGCCCCAAUGUCCCGUCCUGUCCCGACAGCAGUCCCGAUCAUGUGACCUAAUAGAUAUCCUCCAUCUCUCUCUCCUGAUUCUUUUCUUUUUUCUUUUCUUCUUUUUCUUCUACCUUUCUUUCUUUCCUUAUCCCUUCCUUUCUUUCAUUUUUUUCUUUUUCUUUCUUCCUUUCUUUUUCUUCUCUUCUUUCUUUCAUUUUUAUUCUUCUUCUUUCCUUUCACUUUUUUUAUUUUCUUCAUCUUUCCUUCCUUUUUUUUUCUUCUUCUCUACCUGUGUGGAUGGGUUUUGGAGUUCCGACCCUGUCCUAAUCCCAUUUUUUCACAAAAACAGAACGAGAUGGCCAGGAUGCCCUCCGUCCCGCUGGGACAUAAAACCUUGGACCCUAUCCUAACACAUGAGAUAGUACCCCGUCCCGGUGUCCCACGGGGCAUCCUGCUCAGAACUGAAUCUUUAAGGAUGGUUACCCCUUAAUAACUGAGCUAGUUGGAUACCAGGCUAAGAUACUGACUAUAGAUUAUGGUGCUAGAAAUGUGGACAAGUUGGGAUUUUACGAAAGGGAAAGAUUAAGUCAAGUUUGGCAAAUAAAGUUAUAUAUAUUUUUCAUAACAUUUGUAAGCGAUCUAUCUUGUAGACUGUCUAAUAAUUGAAUUAAGCACAUCCAACAUUACAGAAAACAUUAGAUAAAACAAGAGUUUAUGAAAAGAAGCAGUGGACUAAACUGCGCAUAUAAAUGAAAAUUUAGAUUCUUAUACACUUUUGUCAAAAACUUCCUCUUAGGCUCAGUUGUCAUGACACACGCUCAUAUAGAAAGAUCUUGCAUGUGUAAAUACACUAAUAACUUAUAUCAUACUAGCCUCAAAAUACAAUAUCUAGAUCUUGUUUCUCUUUCCUAGACAAGAAACAUGUCUACAAAAAUCAUAUUAACUGGGGUAAGCAUCACGAAGGCAGCGGUGAAGAAUGAAAGCAGUAAAGCAAGCGGAUUUUUUACCACAAUAAUGUUAUUUUUAAAACAAUUUACCAAAAUAAUGUCUUUUCAAAAGUAUUUACCAAAAUACUGUCCGAGGCAAAAUCGCCCUAUCAUAGGGCGACUUUCUGUACUGACUCAGCACGCCCAACGUCAGGUUAGGUGGAUACGUUGGACAACAAAAUUGCCUUAUGAUAAGGUCACUCAUAGAAUCGCUUUGAGUCGCCCUCUCAUAGAGCGACUUAACAUGACUUAGCCAAAAAAAAAAACCCAACCUCCCUCUUCUCCGACGCGAGAAACCCCCAAUCCCCGGCAGCCUCCCUCCUCUCGGCCUGCCCCCCUCCCUUUUCUUCCCCGGCACGAGAACCCUCCCUAGUCAGUUGAGUUUUGGUAAAUGUCUUAAAAUUUCUUGGAGGGAGGGCUGUCGGGGAUUGGAGAGGGUUCUCGCACCAAGGAGGAGGGAGAGGGGGGGCAGGCUGAGAGGAGAAAGGGCCAUCAGGGACCGAGGGGUUCUCACAUCGGGGAAGAGGGAGGUUGGGGUUUUUUUCUUUUUUUGGCUAAGUCAUGUUAAGUUGCUCUAUGAGAGGGCGACUCCAUCUUAAGGCGACUCUAUAAGUCGCCCUAUCAUAAAGCGAUUUUUGUUGUUCAACGCGUCCACCCAACCUGACAUUGGACGUGCUGAGUCAGCACAGAAAGUCGCCCUAUCAUAGGGCGAUUUUGCCUCCGACAAUAUUUUGAUAAAUACUUCUGAAAGGACAUUAUUUUGAUAAUUAUUUUAAAAAUAGCAUUAUUUUGGUAAAAAAUCCAAAGCAAGCAGAUAGGUUUUUUUAGGUAAAUUCAUAUCAAGCAUGCAUGGUAUGUUUUCCAAACAAAAGUGUUGUACGGGGACAGCCAAAGGAUUGGAUCAUGCAAGGCAAAAGAAAAGUGCUUAGGUGGAUGUCGAGGUAUAUAAUAGUUAGAUAAUAUUCAAAGAUUAUUAGAAAUCAAUAAGCAUAUAAAACAAGAGUAUUAAAAAAUAAAUCAGAACUAAACGAAAAAAAAUAUGGGGAUCAUCAUCGAUAAUUUUAUAAAAUGUAGUUAAAAAAUAAAAAUACUGACCGUUAUAAACAUAAUGCAAUAAGCAACUUAACAAAAUGAUGAUAAACAAUAUAGAAUUAGAAUGAGAACUGUUAGAUGUAUGUCCUAGAAGCUAAUCGGGCUGACACAUUAAUUCUUUCUAGGACAUAAUUUCGUACUUAAUCUAAUUAUUUAGGAUAGUUAAUUACUAUUCAUGUAGUGUAUGUGUCCAUGAAUCGUCCAAUGAAUUAACAAGAUAAUGACACAUAUUCUCAAGAGUUGAGAAUUUAAGGCAUGUGUCAUUGGUGGUUAAUUCAUAAACUGCUCCCGAUCAUAGAAUCAUCACGAAGAUGGUGAUUGAUUCAGAUAGAUUGGUGUAUGGAUCACUUCUUUAUGGAUAGAUGAGUCUCGAAUCUACAGUAUGGGGACACUGAACGAAAGUGCAGGCACUUGUUAGAGAAUAAGAGUGCUAAGCGUGACCAACACGAAAAAUCAUUUGGAUGUCUACUCACUCGUCGGUAACAUUCUCGAUGCUGUAAUAGGAUGAAUGGUACUUUGACCUGCGAUGCUUCUACUAUUCACAAUGAAGUUGCUGUAGUUUGACUACACCAUAACUUAGUCUCCUAACCAUAUAAAGUCUUGAGGUAUAUAUUGGCUGCAAUAGGUUUAUUGUAGAAAUAGGAUGUGUAUCUAGAUGGGAUCUAUCGAUCUUAAUAGAAAAGGAGAAUUUUUAUGCGAUUCACGAGACUGAGUUCAAAAAAUCUUUGACCAAAGCAAGUAUGAAUACUAAAAAAGAGUUUUCACAAAAAUUUACAAGUGAACUCGAAUCGAGCCAAUCUUGCAUAUGACAGACGAUUAGAUUUGACGAAUUUUUCAUCACCUCCAUCUUAUCGAAACUCAUGAUAGAAGAACUUAAUCACACGGUAACUACACCUAGUGGUUUAUUACUUCUAUUCUGCUGGUUGCCACUACAUACUGCUAGGUGUCACUGGUAGAUCGUGAGACUCGUCGAAUGUCAUCUUGAUGAUCGAUGACCCUUGAUGGACAGAGUUGAAAUUGUUCCAAUCCAUUGAAAGGAGUUUCAAUGAUAUUUUGAUGGAGAUCAAAAUAUAUCUGAAUACCAGACAGAAUAGUACUUAUGGGAUCACACAUAAAGAGUAACUAACUGAUCGGAAUGUCGAAUAGCGAUUUUGAAUCGCAAAAGAAUCCAAUUAUCAAUGUGAUUGAUGAUUGGACUAAUAUGUAAAAGUUAUAUGAAGAACUUGCUAAAAGUUAAUAAGUUAUAGGAGGAUCGAAAAGAGUCCCACUGUACUGGAACUCUAGAGUCCCAAUGGACUGGGACUCUAUCAAAUUGCAAUUAUUGCUAAUUAUUUGAUUUGAUCAAAUAUGGGCUGAAGUAAAUCAGAUUGGAUCUGAUUAGAUUUGAUUUAAUUUGAAUUUUUCAAUUCAAAUAGGAUUAGGACUUAAUUCCUAAUUGAGUUUGACUCAAUUUAGAUUCGAACCGGAUUGAAAUUAAAUUAGGAAACCAAAGUCCCAUUGCAUUGGGACUCUCUCACCUUAUCCACGCAUGGGACGCCCAACCAAAUUACCAGAAGAAUAUUAUGGCGUGGAGAAAAAGUGGGGCGCAAAAAGGAUGGGGCGGUGGAAAGAGAAGAGUCCUCUUUUAAGGACUUUAACCAACUCCAUCUAAAUCCUAACCUAACCCUAAUUGUUAGGGAUAAAAAGCGGGCACCUCUCAUCAGAUCACAUGGUGAUUAUGAUGCUUGGUAUGGCAUGAAGACAAGGGGAAAAAGGGAUGCGUGCGUGAGGAAGCUAGGAAGCAAAAUCAGAUUGGCAUGGUGAGUUUGUUAGGCUUCAUGUCAAGCAUGCAUGGUAUGUUUUCCAUACAACAAGUGUUGCAUGGGGACAGCCAAAGGAUUGGACCAUGCAAGGCAAAAGAAAAGUGCUUAGGUAGAUGUUGAGGUAUAUAAUAGUUAGGUAAUAUUCAAAGAUUAUUAGAAAUCAAUAAGCAUAUAAAACAGGAGCAUUAAAAAAUAAAUCAGAACUAAAGGGAAAAAAAAUAUGGGGGUCAUGAUUGAUAAUUUUAUAAAAUGUAGUUAAAAAAAUAAAAAUACUGACUGUUAUAAACAUAAUGCAAUAAGCAACUUAACAAAAUGAUGAUAAACAUUAUAGAAUUAGGAUAGGAACAACUUGUCAAAAAUUAGUAAAAUUUGUAAAUUGUAACCAUUGGUACUAGUCAGACAAAGGAGGUCAUAACUUGCUCAUUAGACCCACCUAACAUCCCAAACUACCCCAGCAUAACCCCUGUUAUCCAUCUCCCCGAUAGAUACACACAAGCGCGCACAUGCAUUUGCAGCAAAAUGGAAAACUUACCAAGGCUGGCUAGGCUUGUCAAGCCUCUUGAGCACAUACAAGGUAUCAUGCCACAUAUAGGAACCACCUAGGAGAUCCACCUAACAUCCCAAACUACCCUCACAUUUCCCCUGCCCUCGACCUCCGCAACACACACACGCGCGCGCACGCACAUAUACAUGCUGUAAUACCCAACCCACUAACCCACCAAGAAAAAAGGCCCAAAUAAAAGCAAAAAAAAAAGGGCUCCACAAGACUUUUAAACCACAAAAAAAAAGAAAUGGAAGGAAGAAGACUCCCAAUGAGUCUUCUUCUCCCAAAAGGACUUGAUCAGAGCCAAAAAUCGUAAGCUCCCCUCUAUAAGAUGGAACCCCACACCCUUCCAUGACCAUCCACCGCUGAAUCCCUCUUCCUCUCCUUGUUUCUGCCUCUUUCUUCUUUUCUUUUCAUGAUCGACCAUCACCGUGCACAACGAAACCAGUGGCCCAAACAUCACUAAGAACAAGGUAAAUCUCUCAAGAAACCUUCCUUCCAAUUCUCCUUGAUUUAUAGGCUGAGAUUUCAAUGGAUUGUUACCGAUUUUCCUUGGGAAAAAUCGGAUUUCAAAUGCUCUAUUUUUUCCCUUUCGUGUUGCUUUGAUUUCGGUGCCAUCCAUCACUAUUGAUCACCGAACUAGGGACCAAUGGCCGCAUCAUCAUGGAUCACACCCCUAGCCAUCAUCUCUAGGCAAGACCCCUUGAGUUCAGGGGAGAAGGGGACUCAAAUAAGAUCCCUUGUUUGCCUAAACAAAAAAAGAAGCAGAAGACAGGAAAAAAAAAAGAAAAGAAAAAGGAAAAAAGGAGAGAGAGAAAGAGAGAGUUUCUCUCUCUUCCCUCUUCCUCUCACCUUUCUCUCUCUUUCCACUUUCUAUCUCCACUUUCUCUCUCUAGUUUUCCUCUCUACUUUCUCUCUAUACAAUAUUCUCUCUAAAAUUAUUUCUCUAUGAAAUUUUAAGAUUAGUUCAAUGAAGGAUUUUUUUCAAUAAUUUUGAUCGAUCUUAGUGAAGGGUUCCAAUCUGCCACCAUCGAACAGCAUGCCGAUACCCAUCUUGAUCAAACUAAAUACCAUUAGAUUUGAUCACCCAUGAUAUUUAUUCAACCAUCUCUAUAUUAGUUUAACCAUGAUUUGAUGAAAUCACUUUGAUCGAAUCGAUCGGAAUGUCGGACAGUAUCGCCUGAUCAACCUUAUUCCAUCUUGUUAAUUUUUCUCCUCUGAUAUUCUCUCUCUACUUGAUUUAUGAACCCAAUGAAGCAUCCCGGACCAACUCAAAUCGUUGAAUGCAAUUAUCCAUGAAUCAUAUCUUUCUUAAUUAUCCAUAUUUUUUCGAAUUAAUGGACUUAAUUCUAUGUAGGGAUAUAGUCAACUCGACAAAAAGAUGUCCAAUAGUGGGAUAUUACAAUAUGAUUUAUGAAUUAAAGAUUUUGAAAAAAAAAUUAUAAAAUUAUGUGGACUUGCUAGAAUACGUAUGAGAUAAGUAAUGCUGCACUUGUUUUAGAUUUAUCGAUAUAUUAUAAAAAAAAAUUAUUGAAUUAUUUAUGAUUUAUGAAUCUGAUGUACAUAUUUUGAAUUAUCGAAUAUAUCUUUUUUUUCAAAAUAUUAAGUGAUUUAUGAUCGAAUGUAUUGAAUUUGAUAUGAAUCAUACUAAUAGAUUUCGAUGUCAUAUGGUUUUAUGAAUUAUUUGAUUUGAAAUAUGAAAUAUGCUUUUAAAGAAAGCACAUUGAUUUGAGAUGAAUUUUGACUCACAGUCGGACUAUGUAUCGAACUCCACCAGUAGGCGUUAAAUGCUAGUACUAUGAUAUCUUAUCAAUGGGACAAUUAAAUACUGAUACUUUGAUACUCUAUCAAUGAGAGUUGUGCGCUGGUAUUUUGAUACUCUACCAAUGAAGCGGUUAAACAUUGAUAAUUUGAUACCCUGUCAAUGAGGGUUAUGCGCUGGUACUUUGAUUUAGUUCAUGGCUGUCAAAAUGAACACGAUGUUUUAAAAAAAAAUCAAUUUAUAAACGAAAAUGAAUUCGCAUGGAUCAUAUUUUGAUUAGUGCUGUAUAUUUUGAAUGGAUGCAUAUGCAUGCUUUUUUAGCAUAUUAUUACUGCUUAAUUUAUCUAGCUAAAGUAUACACAACUUACUAGUUGUUUAGCUCAUUACUCUAUAUUUACUAUUUUUACAAAUUCAGAAGACUAGAUUGACUUGAAGAUUCAUUAUGGAAGAAAGAACUAAAGACAAUUUGAUAUUUUUAUUUUAGAUUAGGAUUUAUUGAAAUUUGAUGCACUAUGAAAAAUUAUUUUGCAAGACAUUUUAUUAAGUCAUUUGAACUAAAGUUGAAUGUUAAUUAUUUGAAUUUUGUUCCAUUAUUUCUUUAUGAUAUCGUGAUGAGAUAUCUUGUAUGCUUGUGGAAAGAGUUCUCCAUAAGUAUGCCGUGGUUGCCGUGACCCUUUGACUCGCGAUCUCGAAUCGAGAGCAUGACAAUUAAUAUGAUAUCGGAGCAUAAGUGGAUAAAUUAUUAAACAUAGAAUAAGACAUAGGAUGAGUGUAGAUAGAUAGACACUAGGGACAUCAAAAUAUAGAUCUAUGAUGAUUGCAGCAUACAUUAUCUUCAUGAUUUUUGACUAACCCUUGUGAUGAUGAAUGAAAAGAUUGCUUAGGAAUAAUACUUCAGAGGGUUUGAUAUAUGAUGGAUAAUCCGGGAUAAUGCUAUGAGUAAUUGGAUUUUGAUCUGAAGUAAUUGCAAGAGGAUUGGUCAUGAAAUUUUAUUGUGCAUUGUGAUUAUUAAUUUAAUCAUCAAUUGUUUAAAUGAAUUGCAAGCUCAAAUUUGAUAUGGGAGUAUACCGUAAUAUUGCUUAGUUUUGAAAUUUAUUAUUUAGUGACAAGCUAGGGUUUAUUUGCAAUAAUGUGUAAAAUACUGGACUAAAAAAAAUUUUAUGAUAUCCGAUUAGAAUAUUCUUCAAAGCCAAACCUGAUACAUGGAUCAUAUAUAAACCGGCAUAUAAGAGGAAUAUACAUCUGAGAAUAUUGCAAAUAAUUAUGUUCUUAAUGGAAGGAAAUCGAUUUUGUUUGAGGUUAUAGAGUAUUCAUCUUGGUGGAUCAUUAAUAGUUUUAGUUACCAUCUUUAGAUCCAAAUAAUAGAUCUUGUUUAUGACUAUUAGAGACUAUAUGGCAUGUAUGAAACUUCAAUUCAAGAUAUGGGUUUAUAAAUUGAUCUAGAGUUUCUUUUUGCCAUUAUUAUUGAGGUCCGUGUUAAAAUCUAGUAUGUCAUGGAGAAUUUGAUUUCAAAAGGUUUGCAUGAUUACUGUGGAGAAAGUAUUUGCUAGAUAUUAAAGUACUUGAGGAAAAGAACUCUAGAAAAGAUAAUUGAAUCAGUUUUACAUAUGUGUUUUGAUUUAAGUCAUAACUUGGUGGAGCAAUCAAAAUGUUUUUCUUAUUGAUUUUACUUACAGGAUUUUAUUUUGGAAUUGUCUAAUUGAAUUGACAAGAGAACUAAGAUUUGAUCCAUAUCGAAUUACAGUAAACCUAUACGAUGGUUUGAAUGUGUUAACAAACUCAGGGGAUGUGUUCGAUGCAUAUUGGGGACAAUAACUUAUAUUGACUGUGAUAUAACUUAGAAAUCUAUAUUUGACAUCAAUAUGUUGAUGGAUUUAAAUCAAAGUACUCAGUAGAAACAUAAUGGUCUGAAUUAUGUUUAAGCUAAUCAAAACAAUAAUUUCAUUUGAAAGAUGAUGUGAUGAAAUACUUGUUUUUAGGAUUAGAUAAUAACUUGAGGAAGUAAUUCCAAACUUUUAAGAACUUGAGCAAGAAAAAUUUCAAGAAUAAAAUUUCUUUUUAAGAAGGGAAAAUGUAAUACCCAAUCCAUUAACCCACCAAGAGAAAAGGCCCAAAUAAAAAGGGCUCCGCAUGACUUUUAAAGCACCAAAAAAAGAAACGGGCAGAAGGAAACUCCAAUGAGUCUUCUUCUACCAAAAGGACUCGAUUGGAGCCAAAAAUCCUAAGCACCCCUCUAUAAGAUGGAACCCCCCUCCUUCCACGGCCAUCCAUCGUUGAAUCCCCCUUCCUCUCCUUGUUUUUCUCCCUCUUUCUUCUUUUCUUGUUCCCAAGCAACCAUCAACGUGCCUAAUGAAAUCAAUGGCCCACACAUCACUAUGAACAAGAUAAAUCUCUUAUGAAACCUUCCUUCCAAUUCUCCUUGAUUCAUAGAUUGAGAUUUCAGUAGAUUGUUACCAAUUUUCCUUGAAAAAAAUUGGAUUUCAAAUGCUCUAUUUUUUUCCCCUUCGAGGUUGCUUUGAUUCCGCACCAUCCGUCGACAUUGAUCACCAGACCGAGGACCCAUGGCCACACCGCCAUGGGUCGCACCCCCGGCCAUCAUCUCUCAACAAGAGUCCCCUUGAGUUCAGGGGAGAAAGGAGUUCAAAUAAAAUCUCUUGUGUUGCCUAAACAAAGGAAAAAGAAAAAAGAAAAGAAAAGAAGAAAAAAGAAGAAGAGAAAGAAAGGGAAAAAAAAGGAGAUAGAGCUUCUCUCUUCCCUCUUCCUCUCACCUUCCUCUCUCUUCCUACUUUCUCUCUCUAGUUUCUCUUUCUAUAAUAUUUUCUCUAAAAUUCUCUCUAUAAAGUUCUCUCUCUAAGAUUAGUCCAGUGAAAGAUUUUUUUUUUCUAUGACUUUGAUUAAGCUUUAGUGAAGGGUUUCGAUCCACUAUCGUCAGACAGUGUGCCGACAUCCAUUUUGGCCAGACUAAAUACCAUUAGAUUUGAUCACCCAUGAUAUUUAGUGAACCAUCUGUACACUAGUUUAACCAUAAUUUAUUGAAAUCACUUUGAUCGAAUCGAUCGAGAUAUCAGACAGUAUCACCUGAUCAAUCCUAUUUUAUCUUGUUAAUUUUUCUCCUCUGACAUUCUCUCUACUUGAUUUAUGAACCCAAUGAAGUAUCCUGGACCAACUCAAACCAUUGGAUGUGACUAUUCGUCAAUAAUAUCUUUCUUAAUUAUCCAAUUCUUUUUAAUUAAUGAACUUAAUUAUGUAUAGAAGUAUAGUCGUCUCGACAAAAAGAUAUCCAAAAGUGGAUUAUUGCGAUAUAAUUUAUGAAUUAAAAAUUUUGAAAAAAAAUUAUGAAAUUAUAUAGAUUUGAUGGUGUGCGUAUGAAGUAAUACUGUACCUUUCUCUAGAUUUAUCGAUAAAUUAUAAAAUAUUUUUUAUUGAAUUAUUUAUAAUUUAUGAAUCUGAUGCAUGUAUUUUGAAUUAUCGAAUAUAUUCUUUUUUCAAAAUAUUAUGUGGUUUAUGAUCGAAUGCAUUGAAUUUGAUAUGAAUCAUAUUGAUAGAUUUCGAAUAUUGCAUGGCUUUAUGAAUUAUUCAAUUUAAAAUAUGAAAUAUGUUUUUAAAGAAAGUAUAUUAAUUUGAAAUGAAUUUUGACUCGCAGUCGGACUAUAUAUUGAACUCUACCAGUGGAGUUUAAUGUUAGUACUACGAUACCCUAUCAGUGGGAUGGUUAAAUACUGGUACUUUGAUACCCUACUAAUAGGAAUUGUGCGCUGGUAUUUUGAUAUCCUACCAAUGGAACGAUUAAAUGCCAGUAAUUUGAUACCUUGCCAGUAAGGCUUAUGUGCUGGUAUUUUGAUUUAGUCCAUGGCUGUCGAGAUAAACAUGAUGUUUUGAAAAAAAUUGAUUUAUAAAUAUUUUGAUUGAAGCUGUAUAUUUUGAAUUGAUGCAUAUGCAUUCUUUUUUCAGUAUAUUAUCAUUGCUUGAUUUAUCUAGCUAAAGUGUACAUUGCUUACUGAACUGUUUAACUCAUUACUUUAUAUUUUACAGUUUUUACAUAUUCAGAGGACUAGCUUGACUCUGCGAUAUAUUAUUGAAAUUUGAUACAAAACCAUGAAAUAUUAUUUUGCAAGAAUUUAAUUUAAUUAUUUGAACUAAAGUUGAACGUUAAUUAUUUGAAUUUUAUUCUAUUGUUGCUUUAUGAUAUCAUGAUAAGAUGUCUUAUAUACUUAUGAAAAGAGUUUUUCAUGAGUAUGCGGUGGUUGCCGCGAUUUCUUAACUCACGAUCUCGAAUCGAGAGCAUGACAAUUAAUAUGAUAUCGGAGUAUAAAUGGAUAAAUUAUGAGAUAUAGAAUCAGACAUAGGAUGAGUAUAGAUAGGUAGACACUACAGACAUCAAAGUAUAGAUCUAUGAUGAUUGCAGUAUACAUUGUCUUUAUGGUUUUUGACUAAACCUUGUAAUUAUAAAAGAAAAAAAUUGCUUAGGAAUAAUACUUCAGAGGAUUUGAUAUAUGAUGGAUAAUCCGAGGAUCAUGCUAUGAUUAGUUGAAUUUUGAUCUAAAGUAAUUGCAAAAAGAUUGGUCAUCAAAUUUUAUUAUGCAUUGGGGUUAUUAAUUUAAUCAUCAAUUGUUUAAAUGAAUUGCAAGCUCAAAUUUGAAAUGGGAGUAUAUGGUAAUAUUGCUUAGUUUUGAAAUUUAUUAUUUAGUGACAAGCUAGGAUUUAUUUGCAAAAAUGUGUAAAAUACUGAACUAAGAAAAUUUUUAUGAUGUCCGAUUAGAAUAUUCUUCAAGGUUGAACCUGAUACAUGGAUCAUGUAUAAACCGACAUAUAGCAAGAAUAUACAUCUGAGAAUAUUGCAAAUAAUUAUGUUCCUAAUGGAAGGAUUGUUUUGAGGUUAUAACGUAUGCAUCUUAGUAGAAUCAUUAACAAUUUUAGUUACCAUCUUUUAAUCCAAAUAAUAGAUCUUGUUUACAACGUUAUAACAUAUUUAUCUUGGUGGAAUCAUUAACAAUCUUAGUUACCAUCUUUUGAUCCAAUAAUAGAUCUUGUCUAUGACUAUUGGAGACUAUAUGGUGUGUAUGAAACUUCAAUUCAAGAUUUGGGUUUAUAAACUGAUCAAGUGUUUCUUUGCUAUUAUUAUUGACGUCGCCAUUAAAAUCUAGUAUGUCAUGCAGAAUUUGAUUUUGAAAGUUUUACAUAAUUACUGUGGAGAAAGUAUUUGAUAGAUAUUAAAGUACUUCAGAAAAGAAACUCUAGAAAAGAUGAUUGAAUCGGUUUUACUUAUAUAUUUUAAUUUAAGUCCUAACUUGGUAGAGCAAUCAGAAGAUUCUUAUUAAUUUUAUCUACAGAAUUUUAUUUUGAAAUUGUCUAAUUGAAUUGACAAGAGAAUUAAAAUUUGAUUCAUACUGAUUUACAGUAAACAUAUAUAAUGGUUUGAAUGUGUUAACGAACUCAAGGGAUGUGCUUGAUGCAUAUUGAAGAUGAUAACUUAUGUUGAUUGUGAUAUAACUUAGAUAUCUAUAUUUGACAUCAACAUAUUAAUGAAUUUAAAUCAGAAUAAGCAGUGGAAGCAUAAUGAUUUGAAUUAUUUUUAAGCUGAUCAAAACAGUAAUUCGAUUUGAAAGAUGAUGUAUGAAAGAAUUAUUUUUUAGGAUUAGAUAUAUUAUGAAUUAUCGAAUAUAUCUUUUUUUGAAAUAUUAAGUGAUUUAUGAUCAAAUGUAUUAAAUUUGAUGAAUCAUAUUGAUAGAUUUUGAUGUCGCAUGGCUUUAUGAAUUAUUCGAUUUGUAAUAUGAAAUAUAUUUUUGAAAAAAGUGCAUUGAUUCGAGAUGAAUUUGACUCCGCCAAACUAUGUAUCGAACUAUGUCAAUGGGAUUAAACACUGCUACUAUGAUAUCCUGCUAGUGGGAAGGUUAAAUGCUCGUACUUUGAUAUCCUACUAGUAUGGGUUAUGCGCUAAUAUUUUGAUACCUUGCCAAUGGGGUGGUUAAACAUCGGUAAUUUGAGGCCCUGCCGGUGAAGGUUGAUUUAAUUCAUAACUAUCAAGAUGAACGUAAUGUUUGAAAGAAAUCGAUUUAUGAACGAAAAUAAAUCCACAUGAAUCAUAUUUUGAUUAAUGUUGUAUGUUUUGAAUUGAUGAAUCAUAUUUUGAUUAAUGUUGUAUGUUUUGAAUUGAUGCAUAUGCAUGCUUUUUUCAAGAUAUUAUUAUUGUUUGAUUUAUCUAGCUAAAAUGUACAUUACUUACUAGAUUGUUUAGCUCAUUUCUCUAUAUUUUACUGUUUUUACAAAUUUAAAGAACUAGCUCGACUCGAAGUUUCAUUAUAGGAGAGAGAACUAGAGGCAUACUUUGAUAUUUUUAUUUUAGAUUAGGAUUUACUAAAAUUUGAUACAAGAUCAUAGAAUAUUAGGAUUUAUUUUGUAAGAUAUUUGAUUUAGUUAUUUAAACUAAAGUUAAAUAUCAAUUAUUUGAAUUUUAUUUCGCUGUUGCUUUAUGAUAUCAAGAUGAGAUGCCUUGCAUGCUUGUGGAGAGAGUUCUCCAUAAAUAUACGAUGGUUGCCGCGACCUCCUAACUUACAAUCUCGGAUCGAGGAUGUGACACAUGCCCUGCAUCAAAAAGAAAAACUUGCCAAGUCUAGCUAGGCUUGUUAAGCCUCCUGAGCAUAUACAUGGUAUCUUGCCACAUCCAGGAACCACCUGUGGGACUAAGCAUAAGAAAGUAAACAAGGGAUACACAACAACCAACCCUGUCCAUCUCCCCCCCCCCAAAAAAAAAAAGAAAAAAAAGGAAAAAGGAAGAAAGAAAAACUUGCCAAGUUUGACAAGGCUUGUCAAAGCCUCUUAAGCACCUACAAGGUGCCAUGCACAUGCAGGAGCACCUAAAACACUAAGCACAAGAAAAUAGACCAAGGGACGAACCUAGGUUUAUCCCAUUGGAUAGGUGAAGCACUCAAUUUCCCUCACUGAGGACCUCUGCCAUUGAACCUUCACAAGGGUGAAAAUAAUAGUUAUGCCUAUAGUGGGAAAAAGAAACCUCAUGAAGUUAAUAAUAUUACAAUGACAACUAAAGCACCAAAUUCAAACUACACUAGGCAAAAAGACACAUGGACAUACUUUAGUGGAAAAUAUAACAUCGAACCAUGUCAAGUGAAUAGCCAUUAACAGGCUUUAAAAAAAUAAAAAGGCUACAAAAGGAAUCUAUGAUCUAGUUUAAUGUCAAAUUAUGGACAAUAACACAAACUCAAUCCUUUCAGAAUGAUUAACAAUUAAUUUAGUGUGUGGCAUACUAAGACAAAACUAAAUUGACAGGCCUAGAUAUGUGGAUGUGUCACAAUAUCAGCAUGUUUUGAAUGGAAUGGUUAGAUCAACCUUGGUACAUAGGAAAAACUAGGUUCCUAAUAUACUAUUUGUAAGAUGUAAACGAACCCUCUCUCCAUAUAUUUUUUUAGAGAGAGAGAGAGAGCUAGACUUGGCUAGACUCAAGCGGUCUCUACUCAAAUCCAGUCAGAUUUUGAUUGGAUGAUGAAGGUCCCACAUCGACGAUCCAAACUGUCAAAUGUGAUCUACUAUCUAUAAAUUACUUACCAAAAAUCAUGUGAUUUGGAGGUCCUAGCCUAUGCAUCAAGGAGUCAAAAAUUUGGCAAUGUAUAUAACAUUAAAUUAUAUAUGUUUUUUAAUCACCUGAUGCACAAGCUAAAGGUCUCAAAAUCACAUGAUUUUUGGUUCGUAAGUAGCUUAGAGGUAGUAGAUCAAAUCCAAUGGCUUGGAUUACCAAUGUGGGAGCUUCAUUGUCCAAUGUAGACCUGACCGGAUCUGAGUGGAAUCCACUCGAGUACAGACAAGUUCAACUCUAUAUACACAUACAUAUACAUAUAAAUAUACAUACACACACACACACACAUAUAUAAUGUUGCAUACUAGACUAUGAACAUAUCAACACAUUGUGUUGUACUAUAUUUUUCAAAAAAAAAAAGAGUCUAAAGUAGACUUUCUAAAAUAAGAAACAUGGGUGCAUCAAUCAGAAAUAAUUAGGAAGAAUCUUUCAAUGAAUGUGAAGAAAGGUAGGAAAAGUAAUGAAUGCAGAUUUCAGAAAGACAAAGCAAGCACGUUAAUAGAGGUGCAAUAGGAGUAUAAAAUACAUUGAGUGUAGAAAUGAGGUUAAACCAAUUCUACCUUCAGAAAGGCAUUUAGGAUGUUUAUGUUCUAAAUCAAUUCAUGUUUCACCCUGAACUCUUCAUUUAUGAAUUUUCACUCCUAAUAUCAGAGGGACAACAGCAAUCUAUAUGAUAAAAUUGCCAGGCUGUUACAUGCAUAUUAAGUGUUGAUGUAAUUUAGCAGCAGCAAAGAAUUAUAUAACAUACUAAUUGCAUAUUGGAAGAAUGUAGAUGAAAUAGAAAAAAUGCAAUGAAGAUACAACAAUAAUCUUGGUUGAAACAAGGAAAUAUAGGUGGGAGACAAAUUGCUCCACUAGAUAUCAUGUUUCAAACAAAACAUGUAGAACAUGUCCAACUUUCCAAAUCAACUGGCACAGGUGAAUACCCUAAAUGCAGGGAAUCACCACACAUAUGCAUGCCCAAUGCUGGCACCAGCCUGUCAUAGCAUGGCACAGUGGAACAUGCCAGCACUUCUAUCCAUACUAUCUCAAGCAUCAUAAUUACUCGAAAAUUCUAAGAAAUGAUUUUUUUCUUUUUUUUUGGAAAACUUUCUCCAUCUAUGACACAAAGGCAGCAAAAAAAUUUAAUUUACCAGUUAGCCACACCACUAAGACCACAUCCUCAAGCAUCUCUUUCAUGUUGAUACAACAGAAAAGCAACUGCUAGCAAAAUUUAUGCAUUCAUUCAGCAUUCAAAAUUUUUCAAAUUGUUCCCCUGUACUUUCUUAGUCUGCUAAUAUCUAAGAAUGUUAGGAAGACAAUGUUUAAGAACAUCUUAGUUACUAUCUUUUCAUAACAAAGAACCACAACAACGAUCCAAUUAUUAUUUAGUAUGAUCACAGAAUCUCCAAGAUCUCCCAGGAAGUCCCUAUAGGAACAGUAUAUCCCUCUCUAUGAAGAAACGCAACUAAGAAGCAUAAUGGAAUGAAAGGAAAGAAAAAAAAAUCCAACAUAACAAUUAAAAAUGAUUUAGAGCACAAAAGAGAAGCAUCAUAAGCGGAAGAAUAGUGCAACAAAGUCUAUGCAGCAAAACUUAUCCAAACAAACAGAGAUGUAUCCUGAGCUACUAACUUUUGUUAGUGACGGUAUCAUGAUUCUAACAUUAACCAAUUAGAAAGCAGAUACAGCAAUAAUAUGCCAUUUCCUAUUUUUCUGGAGGAAAAGAUGCUUUAAUACGGAUGCUAAUGCCACUUGAAAAAUCAUCACAUGGUCGGUAUAUCAAAUUUUAGAAGCAUUCUGCACUCUUUGCUUCCUCAUGACAUUAAAUGCAAUAAAUAAAUAAAGAGAAUAACAAAAGCAAGGUGCUAUAAUAACACAAAGGUUCUUUAUAAAUUUCCUUUCUAGUAAAUUUCCUAAAUUAUUGGCAUCCAUUAUCUUAAGAAGUGCAGUGCAUUUUGCAUUAAUACUUGCAAAAGAAAUCAAGAAUGGUAAAUCAAGUAAUGAUAACUUGAGUGUGUGACUACAUGGUGACAACCACAAGAAAAGAUGUGGAAGGUAAAUAAAUAAAUAAAUAAGCAAGAUGUUGCAGGCAAAAUAAUGCAGGAGAGACAGCAAUUACUUUGAAUUUUCUCUUGGAGGUAACCGACCAUUCAACACACAAUCCAUGCACCACCAUGGAAGAUCCUUCUCAUCUUCCAUCCCAUCUAAAUCAGUAAUUUUCUUUCUCCAAGGACCUCCAUGAGAGCCCUCUGUAAUAAUUGAAGGAGGUGAAGAUGUUGCAAACUUGAAAGACGCGAGCACCAUGGAUGUACAGUUUUCAGAUCCAUCAUCAACCUCAACCCUUGGAUGGGAGAGAUUUCUAACAGAGACAUCCUUCCCUGAUGCAACAUCACCAUUAGAUGAAACCUGGGAUCCAGACCUCUGUUUUCUUUUAGCCAACCAAUAAGCCAAUAACCCACGAAGAGUCUCCUGAGCUAGAUUAAUCUGAAAUAAUUUAUGAAAAAUAAUUGAAAACUUCAUCACUGGGUAAUCAUGUAAAAGAAUAAAUUUAAAUUAUCUUUCAAAAGAUGGUGACAACAUUCCACCAAAAGAUUGUUAACAAGUAAAGAUGAUUACUCUUGUCCUUUCUAUUAUACAGCCUCCCUUGGAAGAUUCCAAAAUAUGAUCUAAACAAGCAAAUAUUUUGAAUCAAAUAUUAAACAAAGAAAUGGCAUCAAGCAUCUGCAUCACAAAGAUUAUCAAGACAAUCUGGAAGAAGAUGAGAAACAAAAUAGUUUGUACAGCUGGUUGUAUAUAACAAAAACCAAUGGCCACCCAAGGUUUCUAAAUAAAAACCUGAGAUGGGAAACCUCUGAAGCUAUCCAGCCAUUGGGACUUUACUUAAAACACUAUCUUCAUUUUACGUUAUUUAUAGGAAAAUAAAAAUUCUAGUUCUCCAAACACUCAACGCCAAUAUUCUCUGGCACAUAGAACAGCUAAGGUGAAGUGCAAGUACUUGCACCGAUGUGCUGUUUGACAAGACACUCCAUAAUUUUGUGCCUAGCAUCAACCUCAGGGGUGACUAAAGUACAUCACUGCAUUAAGAAAGUGCCAAGAAAUGUCAUGCCAUGACCACUAUCCAAGAGUCAGCACUUCAAAAUUCCUAAGAAUUAACAUAUCCUAGUAACACCAAUCGUUUGAAAUAUCAUUGUAUACCAUGUUUGUGUUAAAUAUUAUAUAGGUGACAAUGUUAUGGCAAGAAUUAAUAAGGCAGUCAUAUAAUAAUUGAAACCUAAGAACAGUCGUCAAUUACAUGGAAUGCCUGUACUUCUUUGCAAUAUCCAAUCACUUAUGCAGUCACUGUGGUAUUUUUAUCUCAUUACUUAUGUCUCGUGAUACCAAAUGAACUUUAUCCAUCUUAAGUGCUCUGAUGAUUUGCUGGCAACAAUAUGCACAUGUUUAUAAGUUUCCUACAGUGGUUGGCCUGGCAAUUCUAUGUGGACAGCGGUCUCAUAUGAUGAGAGGGAAGGAAACAGAACUGUUUGCAAGUUGAUCUUGCAUCGCCCUUUUGCUAACUAGCCUUAGCAGUUAGCUCAUCCACCUAAAAAGCUCAGUUGGUUCAAAUCACCUCACCUGCAACCUUACUUUUUAAUAACAAGACAUCCAGCUUGUAGAACAGAGAUCACGGUACUAUAAAUGCAUGCCCUAAGAUUUGCUUGUUACUAACAUCUACUGGCAAUGGGCUAGAUGGGCAUGUCAAUGUUAUGAAAUGCAGCAACAGUAACCAGAUAGGAACCACUGUCAAAUAAUUGUGAGGAUGAAGGUAAUCAUUUGUUUCCUCCCAAGAUGAUGAGAAGGCUUCCAGAAGAAUUUUCAUAGGAAAGUCAGCAGAAAGCAUGUAUUACACAAUGAGAGCAACCCUCUAGGUUGUCCCUACAGAUAAAAGGAUAAUGAAGAGUGAAGGCUAUCAAGGCAGUCUUUUAUGCUGCAACAAAGCCUUCCACCUUGGUGAGUAUCACAGCAAAUUUGAUCUAUCUUCCAUGCGGCUGUGCUAGCCCACCAUGUAUUGAUGAAUGAUCUCUCAAAUCUAAGAUAAUGGGGUCACAAUGCUUAAUGAGUGUCAUAUUCUUUGUCUUAAUAAUCAACAGAUGGCAAGCCUUCACAAUUAUAAGUCAAAUAAAUUAAAUUAGUCUUAAGUUGGAAAAGUUCUACUUUCCUAUAUGCCUUCUUGAACACAUCUUAUAGGCUUGUGGUAUUCGUGUGCCAAUUUAUAAUAUACUUGUGUUUGGAAAGAAAAAAACAUGGACAGAACGCAUCAUAUGACAUAUUGUUUCUAAGAUCAAUAGUUUAUAGGUAUUAAAGAGGCAACUAGGAAAUUAGAUAUAUAAAAUGUAGAUCUUUUGUUUAGUGGAUCAACAUUAAGAUAUAAGCAGAAAACACUCAGAUGUUUUUACAAAUGAUAACAUUUCAAGUUUACAGAAAAAUAAAAUUUAAAUUUAAGCCAGAUAUUUUUAUCCAUGAAGAGAGCCACGUCAUGCUACCAUUCUUAAAUAUACUGCACAUAUAUCAUUCAUUGUCAUAUCUGCCACGUUCAACUCAUUCAGUGAGAAUCCUUUUACUGCACCAAUCAUCUUGAACCUUAUAACAUGCAUGAAUCAUGUUUUAUAAAAUUUUUACUUGUCAUUAAAAUUAAUUUAUCAGAUUACACCUCAAAAGAACCCCCCACAUCACCCAUCCACUUACAAUUCUAUAAGAUAUCUCUUCAUAUAUCUCUCUACUCUUUUAUAUGAAUGAUCCAAUAUAAAAUGACGACAAUUUGGUGUUUCUUGGUCAUUAAUUUGGAUUGUCAUUUCCAUUGCAAUUGCAUUGCAUAUGCUCUAUUCAUUCAACAUUGAGGUACUUUAGGUCUUUUGCAAACAUUUUCUUGAAGAUUAGCAAUAAGUUCAUUUAUGAGUAGUGUAAAGAAUCUUGAGCAUGGUGCCAACAAUUGUUCUAUGCUCAUUAUGACUGAAAAUUCACCUAUCUCACCGCAACUACUUUUACUAGUCUAACAUAUAUACCGACAAUAUAGGAGUACCAUUUAUCCACAUCUUUCUUCCAACACCCAAUCACAUAUGCUCUCGACAAAGUGAUUAAGACCAUGUUUCGAUUCUCUUUCUUUUUUCAAAUUCUUCUCUAUAGAUAUAAACAAGAAAAUCACCUCCAUUUUGGCAUUUCUAGAAUAAAUUUCAAUUGCUUCCAUCUGUUGUUUUUGCCUGGACAUUUUUGUUAUUACCCUAAUCCAUAACAUCAUGGUGUGCUCCCUAAUAAAAUAAGUACACAUCAUUGAUACUUGGUGCAAUGUUGUGCAUUGACUUAUUUUUAUGGAUGGGUACCAUGAAACUUCUCCUAUAGUCAUUUGGCAUAUUUCUGAUUCUCAUAAAAAAUGUAAGCUUCUAAACCAAAGGAACCGACUUCCCAUAAUUAUCCAUAUCCCAAAAUGGCAUUUCAUACAGCAACAAUAUUUAUAUCCUUGUUUAAUCUUUGAAUCAAACAUUUGAAUAGGAACAAAUACCUGGCAACUAGAUAAAUGUUCCAUAUGUAAACACACUCCUAUACAGCUAUACUAUAAUCUCCAUUCAACAUUUUCAAAGCAUUAGCUUUUGCAUCUUUCUUAACCUUCUCACCUAUAAGCAUAUCCUUUACGAUAGUUUGCAAUGCAUUUUGCACAAUCUACCAUCUAUAGAAUUCAUGCUUCCCAUCCUUUCAAAUUUAUGAGAUCAACAUAAACUAAGAAAAAAGAUCAAAAAGAUUCGAACCACACUUUAGCACAGUUAAUAAGUACAUACUCAAAGGUUAUGAAAGAAAAUACAACCCUAUGUGAGGCUUGAAGAAGGCUUAGCACCCCAAGAACCCUAAUAAUGGUAGACAAAAAUUAACAAUAGCUAACAACAAGUUAUUUAUAUGACAACAAACCAAACAACUCAGUACUACUGUUACAAAAAGUUCUAUUUGUUUUCAAGUGGUUUAACCGCACUUGAUGGCCAAACUUCUGCUCUGCUCGACAAAGCACAUAGAUGUAGAAGAGGUAAUUCAGUAAUCAAUCUAUAGACACUCUAUAUACAAGAUCCCAAAGUUGACAGGGGCAUGUUAGCAUGAUGAUUUGUGAUGUGAUAAUCAGUAGUGGAGAGCUUCUGGAACUACAGGUGUAAUUAAUUUAUCAAUUUAUUGAUUUUGUGGUUAUUGGGGGUGAAAUGCCUCAAUACACACAUAAACUGGAUUAAGCCAAUGGACUAAAAAGCAGAUAGCAGAUUUGUAGUGGCUGGGCAGUUUCAUAGCAGAUAGCAGGCACUAUAACAAACGCUACAUACACAAAGCAAACUACUAAAACAUACCGAUACGGAUUCUUGCCAGAUAUCAAAAAUGAAUAUUUUAUGUGAACUACAUGCAACAAAAAAUGCAAAGCAAUAGAAGCAUCCUCCAUCUAACAUCAUAGGAUCAUGUCAACAUCCAUAUAAUGCAAAGGUGAUGAUAUUGUUAUCCAUUAAACACAAUAGCAUCACUCAAAAGGUAAAAAGGUCCACAAUCACAUGACAUUAAAUAUACAAUAAAGACAUCCAUGAUCACAUAACAACAACUAUGGAAGAAAUAUGCCCACAACUAUAUAAUAUAAUUCAUCAAACAAAACAUCACCAUCAUCAUCAUCAAUAGAUAAUAAACUUCUUUGGACCAAAAAGUUAAAUGACAAAAUGAUAAUUGACGAUCUCAAUCAAAAACCGCCGUACCAGAACCGGACCCCAUGUCGGGCCGAACCGACAGGGCAAAGAAGGGAAGAGGGAGAAGAAAGAGAGGAAGGGGGAUAGAGAGAGAGAGGGGGAAGGACCAAAGGAGAGAGAGGAGGAUAUCCUCCUUACCGGGUGUCCAAAGGCCGUCGGUCUCCGGAUGGACGGCGACACCGCCGCAAUGUCUCCAACGGCCGGCGAGCCAACAUCGAGAGCGGCCGAAGCUGGAGGGCAAGGGUUUGUGUUGCCAACUUCGUGCAAUAAAAUUCAGAAAAAAAAACAUGGAACAGAGGUGAACCGCUGUUCCACAGUGGAGAUGUCAUCGUCCUCCACCCUCCUCCGGCCUCGGCCACCCUCGAUGCUAGCUCGCCGGCCAUCGGAGACGUCGCAGCGGUGUCACCAUCCCUCCGAAGACCUCCGACGGGCUCCGAAAACCCAAUAAGGAGGAUCUCCCCCUCUCUCUCCCCUUCGAUCCUUCCCUCCCUCUGCCCUUAUCGAGCUCAGCAAGAGCUCGGAUGGACUCCAAUCGCCGUCAAAGGCCCUCCCUUCUUCUCCCUCUCCUUCUCCCCUUUUCUCUCUCUUUUCCUCUCUUUCGUCUUCCUCCCUCCGAGAGAGCCACUGUGCCCUUUUGUACGCCAGAACCGGACCGAUUUUCUAUCGGUAUGGUUCGGCACGACCUGAACUGUCCAAUUUGGGAUGCUUCGAAAAACCAUGAUCUCAAUAGUUAAUCAUCAUCUGCUCCUCCUUGAAGGUCUGCUCCUUGAGCAUCAAAACUAGAGAUGUCUGAGUCAUCCAUCUUUACAUAUGCCUCCUCCGUGCCUAACUCCGACCACUCAAACUCAAUCUCAUCAAUGUUUUAGAUUUGAUUCUUUGGUUUUUUUGACUGUGAAGAUGAAGCAACUCUAGCAUUUUUGAGUCUAGCUCUUCUUGUAUAUCUCUGGGGCUCAUUGACUGUUGGACUAGUCUACCUGGAAAAUGGUCCAAUCCGCUUUAAAUUCAUAGCAUAGCAGUUGCCACAAGUCUGAUGUAUCAAUUGAUUGAUAGCUAAGUGCCAUAUAGUGCCACCAUGAUACUCAGCAUAGCAAAUUUUGGCUUGAAAUUGCUAUAGUGGCUACUAUAAUAGUCAUAAUAGCUAAUUUUCAUAAAAAUGGAUUAAACCCUUGAAAAAAUGAGAACAGUUCAGAUCUCCUCCAAUUUGUACAUGAACUGGAGAGGGCCAGUUCUCCAAUCACGAUUGUCCACAAUUGGCACCAUGGUUGUGAUUGAAUGAACCCCACAUCAUACAUGGGGCAGCAUAUUGGUGGAGCUUAUCCAAUUACAAAUGUCGCACCAAUCAUGAACCGUGAUUGGAGAACUGGCUAUCUCCAAUUCAAGUAAGAAGUGGGGAAGAUCUUGACUCAAAUGAGAAUAGUUGCACAACCUGACAGAUUGUUAAAAAUAAACAGAGAUUGGUCCUAAAUUAGUAGCACAAUCUGUGUAACUAGUUUUCUUCAUAUCCUUGACGAUUUAGUCAUUUCUUGCAGCAUAUAUAUUUUCCUCAUUUAAUAUUCUUGUUUCAAGAACUUAUCAACUCAAAGACAACCUUGCCAUGAAUUGAUAAAGAUCAGGGAACUGCUCGCAUUUUGCAAAAAUCAUUUGCUCAAUUUUGUUAAUAUAUCAUGAAUCUUAUACAUGGACUUUUAGUAAACACCAGAGCACAUAGAUGAUGGAGAUCAUGAUGAGAAAAAGCAGCAACUUGCCCAUGUUAGUAAGCAAUGGUAUGAACUAGGAAAUUUCACAAAAUUAAACAUAGUUUACCUUUUGAUUUCACCGAGCAACAAUUUUCAAGUUUCAACUACAUAACAAAAUUCUACCCUGUCACUUGCUAAAUUAAAUUUUAAAGCUGUAUCUAUUAUAGGAAAUCUCUGCACUUAGGAAAACUGUCGACGGUUAAUUAGCUGGAUAUAUGGUAUGGCCUCCAAAAGGGUGAACCACAAGCCUUGGCAAAGUUCUUGUUGCAGGUGCAUAAUUGUGUGAGAUAACAGAGGCAACCUCAUAACUCCAAUGUAAAAUUUAUAACAAUCCACUUAUUCAAUAUUUGCAUGUUCAAAAACCUUUUUCAAUACAAGCAACCAACAUAUUCUAACCAAGAUUCAACAUCUCGAUACCAAUUCCCACACCGAUAUUAUGCUGUACAGUAUCGGUAUGCCUGGUAUGGGGGUCAGUUCAGCAUACUGAAACUCAGUAUACCCUCCAGUAUCAGGUCUAGUUUCAGUACUAGUACAGUUGUCGGUGCAGGGUAAUACACACUAGUGCAGUGAACCAUGUUCUAAACUCUUCCUAUCUUAGGUAUUGGGGUAGUCAGAUUUUGUAAGUCUGAAAAAUAAAUGGAAAUAGCAUAUUUACCUUGAGAUCUUCAGGUGCACCUGAUACAUUCAAGUCCACAGCAUACAUCUCUGCAGAAAAGCAUUGAGGAGUAUCCAGGUGGAUAGACAAGCUUCCAAGCCGAGUGUCCAUCGUAAACCAUGCAGGGAUGCUCACCUAGAAAAAGAAUACAUAUGGGUUUAGCCAAAUGUUUCUGAUACAGCAGUUUAUGACAGAUUUAACACAAUAAAAUCGAUUGUAGACGAUACAGAACCAUUUCAAAUAGCUCUUCCUUCUUUUGCUCAAAAGAAACCUGCAAACAUUAAUGCAUAGAUUGAGAAUAAGAGUUAAGAUUCUUGAGUGUAACCUAGCACCCUGCUAUAGAUUCGCAGGCCCACACAUUUUCAACAAAUUCAAAUUACAGGUUAAACUCGAGCUAUUAAUUUCUUCUUUUGUUGUUCUAGUAAUGGAAAGAACAAAUUCAAGAUAAAUUACAAAAGCAGUACCAAAAAGUUUGAAAAGCACCUUGCCAUAAUUCUCAAUUACAACUCCCCUGGUAAUAUCCCACAGCUUAACCAAACCUGCUGUGUCCUGUAAGAGAUGCAUAGAACUCAUAGUGAAAAACAAAGAGCUACAUUUGCUCAUUAUGGUCAAAACUAUCAAUAUGUCUUGGGAGUAUACAAAAAAUAAACUUCAUAAUCACCUUAGUCAAGACAUGCCUUCUAUUAUUCAAGAUUUCAUGUUGUACAAUUCCUGGAAUUCCAGGUAUAAUGAAAGAUGGUUCUUGGCAUACAGGAACCUGUUAUAAAAGAAAAGGACAGAAAAAGUCAAGGACUUGGCUGUUGAUACAUAACUUUUCCAGAUGAAAACUGUAUAACCAUAAGAGAGAAAAAGGAAAGAAACAGUAUCACCAUACUAAGCACAGAAAAUUACAAAUAGAAGAAAAUAAAUAAAGAAUAAUUGAAACAUAAAGCAUUUUGUGCCAGACUAUCUUUUUCCAUUCUCAUGUCUACAGAUAACUUUUGCAGAAGGUAUACCAAACCCCACUCAAGGAACCAUCGAAUUGCACCUUGUCUUACAUAUAAUAAACUCAUAUGAAUUCACCCGUUCCUAUAUGGCAGAAGACACCUUAUAUUUUUCUUACAAUGGCUAAAGAGUUAGAGACACUGUUUGAGAUUAUGACCAAAAUAUGAGGCAGAAAUCUUACUCUGCAAGAACACCGCAAGAAUGGUGGAUGUGAAAAAUGAUAAUAGUUUAAAGAUUGAUAGAUUUGUUUAGUGCACUCAUUUACAGGAUUUUGACAAACUAUGGUGACAUUUGGCAUCACUUUCACAUUUCUUUUUUCUGAGAAAGCAAAAAUUUGCUUUUUCUUUAUUUUAACUUUUUAAGCAACACAAACAUGUAUGAUGUAGUCAAUUAUUGUUAUUUUUUAAAUAAGAAAAAUCAAAAACCAACCCUCUUCCAUCCUUUGCCAAUGGCAGCAGGGGUUACAACUGCAGCAGCAUCAAUGGUGAAGGCAGCAACAAUGGUGUUGGUAGUGGUAGUGGAGGUUACAGCAACAAUGGCAUCAUUGGUGGAGGCAGCAGUGGCUGCAGCAGUUGUGGAAAUGGAGGUGAAUGGUGAAGGCAGCAAUGGAGGUGGCUGCAGUUGUGGAGGUGGUGGCAGCAGUGGUGGCAACAAUGAUGGAGGUGGCAGCAAUAGCAGCGGUUGAGACAGCGGUAAUGAUGGGAGCAACAGCGGCAGCUUUGGAAGCUGUGGUGGCUGUGGCAGCAAUGUCAAAGGCAGCAGUGGUGGUGGCUGUGGCCAUGGCAGUGGUAGAAAGGGUAACGAGAGGGGAAAUUCCCCUUGAAAAAACACCGGAUUUCACUUCAAAAAAUAAUGAAAGCAAGAUUUUAUUGCUUUCAAAUUUUUUAGAGAUCAUGAGAAUAGUUUUUACUUUUUACAAAUAAAAAAUAGGAAUAGUAGUAGCAAGCAUUUCCCUUCUCUCAGUUUCCAGAUUUUUGUCUUUCAAAACAGAAGACAGGGGAAGAGGCAAUGCCAAACAUGGCUUUCAAUUUUUGUUGCGACAAGCUGCCAAGUCCAAGAGGCAAAGGAAGGCCCAAAAAAAAAUUGGAAAACAUGAUUUUUUUAGACUCCUCUACCUAAAUUUUGCUUCUAAAUGGGCUUAAAGAAAUAUUUCACACAUUAAAACAAUAUAUUAUCAAAUGGCUAACAGAUUUACUCAAGUUUCAAUCAUACUGCUAAAAGCUAGGAUAUCUACAACUUCAGGGCUAAACUACAAACUGAACAAAACAAUAAGAUGCGAGCAGUGAUAAUAUCAAGUAGAAUAUCAGAUUAGGAGUAAAGGCAAAGCUUUUUUUUAAAUAUUAAUAAUAACACUGCAGAUAGCACUAAGUAUUGUGAAGUUUGGCAAUAAAGUUCUUGACUUCACUGUAACACAAAGGCAGGUACUGUAAACUCUAUCAAAGAUUGUCGCAACACGAUGUAACCUAAUGUAGUAUUACUUCAUUGAAAAAGGCAAGUUGAGCUCAUAUCAGCAAAUCCAUGGUCACACAAUAGAUGUAGCUGAGCCUUACAAAAAAUCAAUACAUGACCAAUCCUUUUACCUCCAAAAAAAAAUCCUGAAAGUGGUAAGCAAAAGAUAUCAGCCAUCUGUUAUGGAUAUAAAGUACUGACCCAGCUCAGAAAUUCAGAUUGUAUAUAUAAUAAAAUAGACAGCAAAAUGAUCAUAGGCAGGCAGGGAAAUUGUCUCAGGAAUUUUCCAGGCCACAAAAACUAAGUACAUAACUGAUUAUUCUGAAAGCUUAUUCGAAGGCAAAUGAUUAUAUGUGGUGUGCAUGUUUCUGUAAUGAUAUUUGUUUAUUCAUGGUCACAUGCUACUAUUUCUAGGUAACAUGCAUUGCCCAUGGAACUGUAACUUGACCAAGUUAACACACUUGGUUAUCCACUGCCCAUAUCAUCAAUCACACAUGCACUCUAUCAGAAGUUCAGAACUUUGGUCACGUCAGAUUCAUCUCCACCUUCCCUCCAUGGAAUCUUAUUUUUCUUGACCUUUUGGAUUACAAUUACCGCCUACAAAUGUAUUGGAUCAACCUACAGUAUAAAACAUGAAAUUUGACAAAAGUUUAUAUCAAGUAACUGGACAUCAUUGUCAGAAUUCUCAUACGAAUGCUGAAACACAAAUUACAUAAUCUUAUGUUUAGAAAGGAAAUCAGCAGUAAGAGGUCAUAAUUAAAGCAUAUGUCUAUCAAAAAAAACAACUUGCAUUGAAGUUUAAGGGCCUGAUAAUAAUUCUUUAGACAUGACCAAAGAAAGUGGACCUACAGCCUCAUGGAGACUGCAGAUUAUUCAAGGGAUUUUUGCAUCUAGGACUCCUAAAAAUUUCAGCACUAUAAACAGAUCCGCACUUGUUUUACAUUCCACUUAAGAAUAGAACAUUCUAUGGAUAUUUAUCUGAAAUAUCCAGAUACAGCUAGUCAAAAUUUGUGAAUGACAACUUUUACCUUGAUCUUUUCAGCCUGUUUGGAAGCUUAUAUUGCAUCCAUAGAACAUGUUCACUAGAUGGUUCUUCAACAAAGGCACGGAGACUGGGAGAAGCAGGAAGCGGCAAAAUCCAGCAAGGCUCGUAUCGUUCAAUUCUAGAAUUUCAGGGUUACAAUAACUCCCCAAAUAGAAUCCUGCAGCCCUGAAAUUUCAAGAUGGGCAAUCUCAUCAUCUAUCCAUGGCACCACUCUUUCUCCCUCUCCCUCACUUCUUGUCCAUGUGAACUUAUCUUACAGAUAUGGAAUGCAGCCACCCAAAAAUCAUUCAUGUUUUGACUUUUCAUCUCUCAGCCUGCUAGGAUUUGCUGCUCACACACAAUGAACCACCACUGGUGAUCCACAUGCUGACAGCCAUCUGAGUCAUUUUGGCCUUAGUAAACAACUUUGGUUAACAGCACUGAUUUUUCAAACAGUCUGACGUGCUAAUAGUGUGUAUAUCUACCCUAAGUUUAUACAGUUUUGAGGUUUAUUCAGGGUACUAAAAUCCCUUCCAGUAUAUAUAUUUGGUUCAUGACUCACCACACAGAUUGAAACAAGGGUUUUAUCCCAAUCUCGAGAUUCAUCUUGGUCCAUGGCUGGGACGGGAUGCAGGAUGCCACAAGGAUAUUCCCCUCCCAGCUCUACAGAUGGGUGACCACCCUUAGAUAGAUAUAUAUAUAUAUAUAUAUAUAUAUAUAUAUAUAUAUAGUAGUAGUGUGUGUGUAUAUAUAUACACACACACACACACNNNNNNNNNNNNNNNNNNNNUAUAUAUAUAUAUAUAUAUAUAUAUAUAUAUAUAUAUAGAAUGGUAUGUGUGUGUAUAUAUAUACACACACACACACAUACCAUUCUUGUGAUAACUUAGGGUUUAGGGCAGGUUUUCUGACAUGAUGAUUGGGUUCAUCAUACCAAUAGUGGUACCAACACAAGUAGGUGAAAAAAAUAAAUUUGAAUGAACACCACUUAUUCAUUGUAUCAUGAACAAAAUGCUCAUUGAAAUAAAACAACAAGAAAGUCUCCAAGUAACCAUUAAAAAUAAGAAAGAACAGAAAAAAUUUAUUGAAAAAAAACUAAAAAAUUGGUGUCCUGGUGAACUAUUGAAAUGCUAGGACAUCUGAUGUCUCAAUGUGCAACAGGCCGAGACAAACCAAGAUGAUCCGAUCUUGAGACAUACAGGGUCUCAUAGGGAUGUCAAUGGAUAGGGUAGGGAAUGGAUUUUGCUAAAUCCGUACCCUAUCCACCCUCCUAUCCCCCCUACCCACCACCUGACCCUACCCACCAUGGUGGAUAGGGAUUUUAAAUCUUUAUCCUACCCAUGAGGGUGGUGGAUAGUACCCUACCCUACCCACAACCCACCAAAGCAAAUGCACAAUGCAAACGCAUGUUUCAAAUUUAUCAAGUUUCACACCUAUUUUAAAUCAAACAAGUUUUAAAACCUAUUUCAACCAUCAAUCUGUACAAUACAAACAGAUACAUACUAUAGCAAAAGAAACCCCAAGUCCCUAACAGAUUUGGUAUAUAUAUGUAGGUAUAUUUAUAAAUAUGCUAUUAUUGAAGGGGGGUAUUUUAGUAAAUACAUAUACAUAACGGGUCGGAUAGAGUAGGGUUUAGGGGUAAAUCUACAACUCGACCCUACCUGCUGCAGGUUUCCAAAAUCAAGACCCUAAUCUAACCUAUGGUGGGUUUUUCAAAAAAAAAAAGAAAGGACCCUACCCAGCGGAUAGGAGCAGGUAGCCACCGGUUAGGGUACCCAUUGACAUCCCUAGGGUCUCACCCCCAUAUUAGGACCUAGUCUCUCUUUAGUCCGAUCCAAGAGUCAAGACUGAUUGGGUCAGACCAGAUCUUAACUUUUGGUUUUAAAAAUACUAAUUAGAAAUAGCAAGGAGUUAUAUCCAAAAAAAAUCACUGGAAAGUGUACUGCUUAGAAUCUUCACUAACAUAUUAUAAUACAUUCAAGUACACCAAUGAAAUGAAUGAAUAUCAAAUUAAAGUUAGCAAUGAUAGUGACCAGGUUAUAGAAAUGAGUUUGCUCCUGAAACAUCAAUAAUGAACUUAUAGCAAAGUAUGCUUACAGGAGCAGAUCCUUCUAAAGAAGCCCUCGCCCUUGUGAAAGACAAAUUUCCAGCUAAGAAUGAGCCACCUCUUUGAAAAACCUUCUGAGGAUUAUGCCCUUCAGCUGGCCAUUUAUGUACAGAAGAAUCUGUUGUUGCAACCCAUAUACUGUCAUCUUGCAAGGCCAUCUGUAGAAUUGGAUGUUCUUUCAUGCAAAGCAAAAUGCUCUCUCUUGUUGACAAGUCUGUCAGGUAUAACUGAGGUUUCCAUAGUCAUGGAAAGAAGAAACAGAUCAGGCAUGGAUCAGAUUGUAAUACUUGGUAGUUGGCAGAGAACCUCUUCCAUAAUAACCAUUAAAAACAUUUUACUUACAGAAAGGUCCCUUCCACCACUGUAAACAUGGGUAAAUGAUGGAGUGCUAGCAAGUGCCCAGACUGAGUCUGUAUGCACAGCAUAUGAAUGUACACAACGUUGUUGGCCAAGAUCCCAUAGACUGCACAAAACAACGUUACAAAGAUCAUAUCAACUAAAAAUUUGGAAGGAAGAUCCUCAUAUGCACUAAAGAAAACAGUUGAGAGAGUACAGUCAGUUUUCAACAUUUUCAUCUUCAACAAUAAAUAAUAGAAACCAAGUAUCCAACAUUAUCUAAAAAGAAGUUUUAGAUAAAUAAGGAUCAUUUGGAAAAGGAUGCAAAACACAAUCCUUGCAAUUCUGCUAAAAGUAAACCUAGACAGAGCAUGCUCAGAAGCAUGUGAAAGACACUUGAGAGAGGGAGAGAGAAGAAGAAGAAGAAGAAGAAGAAUUUGCUACCGAAUCAUGGAGUCAGACGACCCUGAUAAGCAAAACCUGCAAAGAGAGAUUAAUAAGUUGUUCAGACACACUAAAAUAAAUUCCAAAUGCUUGCAGCAAUAUCAUAGAAACAGAAAAAACAACAGAAUUCUGUGUGUUUGUAGGGCAGGGUUAUAAAGCCAAUAAGCAUAUUGGAGAGGUUUGUACACGUGUAAAUAUCCUUCAUCAUAUUCCAACACAUUUACAAAUAAGCAGGGUAUUCAGGCAAUAUUAUCAAUACAGUAGAGUCUUACCAGUAGUUAUAUGACCAACUUCUUGGUUGAACUUAAAAGCACUGUAAUAUAGCUAGAAGCCCAGAACACACUACCAGCUUUAGGCUCAUGGCAAUAAGACACUGUUCAAUUGUCCAAUGGUGCGUAUUAUAACCUUGCAUGUAUGUGUCUUUAUUAGACUACAAAGGGCAUUGUAUGAGUUAUUACUAAAAUUCAAACCACCAAGGUCACGACACUGUAGAGACGGGAAGAAAGGGGGAAAGAAAAAGAAAAACUAUCCUUUUUUUUAGGAGACAACAAGAACGGUUUUCUGGCCCCCAAUCAAUUUAUUGAGGGAACAAACUUAUAAUAGUGGUGCAGGCAAGACCCCAGACAACAUCAUUGGUAACCAACCCCAAAAGUCUUUUUGCCAACUAAACAAGCUGGGACCCAGGAAAAUACAUUUAUUACCAUAAAACAAUCCAUCAUUCUCACGUGGGAGUGACUACUUAAAUUUCACGGUUGCCCUGCACUGGAAAAUCACAUUUACAUGAGAUGAUCUACAUGAAUAAUUAUAAUUUCAACAUUACAUUGAAUAAUUUCAUAUUAUCUCUACAUAUGAUGUUGUAGAGAUGUUCUAUUAAUAUCACACUUUAGGUUUAUAAGCAUGCUGUAUGAACCACAGAAUGAGUCCAGACUUUUAUUGGAAUACCGCAUUUAUGCAAGAUGAAUUCAGGAAGAAAGGAGGAAAAAAAAGAAAAACUAUCUUUUAAUCUUUUUUGAAACAGCAACCAUGGUCAUUGAUCAUUGAUACCCAUUUUUCUUUACCAACUAAACAAGCUGGCACCCAAGGAGGGAAAAAGACUUUAUUAUCAUAAAACAAUCCAGCAUUCUCAAAUGGUAGUGAGUAGUGACUAGUUGAAUCUAAAGGUUGCCCUACACAGGAAAAUCACAUUUACGCAAGAUGAUCUACAUGAAUAAUUAUAGUUUCAAUGUUACCAUGAAUAAUUUUAUAUUAUCUCUACAUAUGUUGUAUAGAUAUUCCCUAUUAAUAUAACAUUUUAGGUCUAUGAGCAUGCUGUAUGGACUGCUGGACCACAGAAUGAGUCCAGGCUUUUAUAAGACUAUUGCAUUUAUGCAAAAUGUAUUCAGAUUAUGUCAAGGAAACAUGACAGCUGAUAGUCUCAUAGCUGAUAGAUUAUUCAAACCAAAUAAGAUCCUGCAAUACUUUGACUACAAUUUGAAGCAAGGUUUUAAAUCCUGUGGGAUGAGGCUGUCCCAGUUUUCCCAUGGAACAGGAUGCACCGCCAUCCCACCCUAUCCCGAUACUUGGGGAAGGGGAUGUCUUAAGUUGUCCCAAUCGAGACGCUGAGAUGUUGGGACGCUAGCGAAACAGCCUUGUCCUGACACAUGAGAUGGCACCCCAUCCAAAUUUCUCGCAGGACAUCUCGUCGGGACCUUAAUCCUUGACUUAAAGCAUGAUGGAAUUGUAAAAGCAAUUAUUUUAAUAAUGGUUUUGGCUAGCUUUAUACUUCAAAUGUUAUUACUAUUAAUGAGGCCAUAUUGGACAUGUCAACAUGACUUUGAACAUUGUUGUAUUUAAGUUCAUUUAUGUGUCUUUAGUGAGUAUUUAAAGCUUUCACAUAAUUUUGUAUCAUAAAUAUAAUAGGCUUGCAACUAAGGAUAUUCAAGCACAUCUUGAUGUAAAAGACUUCAAAAAUAAAUGUUUCCACAAUUUAUGUGAAAGCCUCUUUCAAGAUAAAUUCUUGUUCAUAUAAUCUAAAAAUAAUAUUCCCCAUGAGAUCUACAGUUUUAUGUCCAGGUGAAUUCAUUCUUUUUUAGGUUGAUGGCUUGAGAAGAAUCAUAUGGUUGAUAUCAUGAAAAUAAUAAGCUCUUAUAUGCUUAAAAACAAAUAAGUCUUUAAUAGGGGGCUGAACUUCAAUGAGUCGACCUGAUAAUCAAGGCCCACUUCGUCUUAGUAGCCUGCAGAUUAUAUGAAGCAAGCCUCUUAGGAUUAUAAGGACAAGUUUGAAUCAUAUCCAACGAGAAUUUCAGAAACAUUAAAUAGUUCCCUAGUUGGCAAAUAUUGUGAUUUGAAUUCCAAUCAACUUAUCUUGUUAGGAUAUGAAAACAAUCCAAACCAAUUUGAUUUACAGAUUCAGUGGAAACAAAGCACAAAUACAAACCUUCCAGUUGAAUCAAGAAGCAAUGCCCUGAUGUUAUCAGUAUGCCCUCGUAGUUUCAUAUUCUUUGAACCAGUUCUUGGAUCCCAAACACGUACAACCUAUAAAAAAUCACUAAUAUUUUAAGAAACAUAUUCUGCAGAAAUAUCAAACAAUGGUUUUCAAUAUAACUGCCACAAGACGUAAUAAUAAAACUAUAAAAAAUGUAGCUAGAAAACCUGCAGUUUCCAAGGCCAUCCAAGUACUAUGUAAGCUAACACAAUAAGAAGAAGAAUCUGAACUAUACCUUUUCAGUUCCACCUGAAACAAGCAAGGUUCCACUAUCAUUCAUUGCAAGGGCAUAAACUGACUCCUUAUGGCCUUUGGCAGCAAUUGGACUAUACCCAUGUGAUUGAUUGUUAUGCACAGAAAUGUUAUUGCUUGUAUUGAUACAGCGCAAACUUGUCAUAGGAAUCCCAGUGCUUCCAUAUGAAAUUUCAUCUUCUGUUGCAUCAACAGACUUAGCAAUUGGUAGAAGAGCUGCCUCGAUAUCCCAUAUGAAGACCUCCCCACCAAGGCCCCCAGAGGCAACAAUAUUGCUCUAAAAUGCAUGGUGUUGAACAAGAAUCAGAAAUCUAGAUAUACAUGGUGCAUUGUGAUUAUAAGAAGUAAGAAAUUAUUUACACAUGGAAAAUUAAAAAAAUAUUAGCAGAUAUUAAAUUGCAUGCCUAAAAAGUCAGCUGCUUGCGCAUUAAGAAAUUAUUCAAAAAUAAAAACAUUACAUUUUUUUCAGCCGCAGCAAGACAAAUAACAUAGUCAGAAUGUUGACGAAGCGUUCUCAUACAAGUACCAUCAGAUAAGCAAUUCCAUGUCUGGAAAAAAUAUAUACAUACAGAUUGAUAUGGUGAAACAUAAUGUACUGAUUGCAAAAUGGCAAGAGUUUACUAGAGGAUAGGAACCUUCACAGUGGUGUCCGAUGAACAUGAAACAAGAGUGUUACCAGCCAGAACAGCAUCAUUAACCUGCAUUAUAAAUAUCAAAUACAAGACAGCAAAAGAAGUGUGAAAUUAGUUUACUUGAAAAUUGAUGGCAUUAUCCUAGAUAAACUAAAAAAAGAAUUAUCUGCACAUAGGCGUAUAUAUGACAGCAAAACAAAUGUAUAGAAUCUAUCAAUGAAUCUUGAUUCCUAACCAACAUAGAUUUUCAUGAAAUUUGAUUUUCAAAAGUAGUUAUAUGCAAAUUUUUAUACAUCUCAUAGCCCUACCUGUCAUGUGUCAGCAUGGUCAAGUGCUGUGACAACCAUGCGCCUAUCAUGUGCCAGCGGUCCAUUCAGAUAACUAGUGACAAUCAUGCAGAGCAACACUAAACAGCACCGGCAAGCACACAAGAUACAGGGAUACAAACCACUCCACCUUGUUAUGCACUUAUGCAUGAUCCAUAGGGUCUGGCCCAAUAUAGCAAAGUGCCAAAAGAAGAUGUAAAUGAAGCAUAGUUUGUUAUAUCAUAUCAAAACUUGGUAUUUCAUUUCUCAAGUGGAAUGGUAAUGAAGAAAACUGAAAAUAUAUCAUAGCCAUUAUGUUGGGAUUAUAUGACAACGUAUAUAUCUGAGAGACGGUUGCCAGUGUGCCGGGUGAGGUAUGGGUCCAACUUGAACCAGAACCAACCAAAACUUUUUUCAUGUCCAAGAUUAAGACUCAAACAAGAAAUACCACUGUGCAGGCCAUGCUCAGUUCUAAUCUCCUUCAGGCCAGUUUGGUUGGAUGUAGGUUUGAAAGGUUAGAUCUAGUUUUUUUAGUUAACAAUUGUCAGGCUGAAUCAAAAUCCGUUUGGGUCACUUCCAAUUAUUUGAGAUCCAUACUCAACCCACAUUAAGUUUUUAUUUAAGACCCAUGCCUGAACCAUGGAUCUAAUUUUCACAUAUGGACUAGGUCUAAGUUUGGAUACAACUUAGAACUGGGCCUGUGCAACCUGAUUGCAACCCUGAUUUGAGAUGUAUGUAGUAUGCUACAUCAACCAUUCAACUCCUUAGUUUAGACUCUUUCCAAGUAUAAAGGAUAUAUAGGAGGCCUGCCCCAUGUUGGAGGAAUAAACUAUGUAUGCAAGAAGAAAUGGGAUUCUGCAAUGGUACAUUUUAGUCUUAACCAUCCAAUGAGAAAGGAUAAUUUCAUAACUUACUUGCCUCACUGGGUGAACUGCUCAGGUGUGAAAGCCAGCAGAGGAAUAUUUUGGAACUUCGGAUCCUCUGCCAAAUACUAGCUGAUGCGGGAAGGGUGCCAAUGAUCAAGCAUGAAGAGCAAUGGUCAGAUAAUCUCAACAAGGUUGCCAUUAGGGACUAGAAGGCACUGCCAAGGAAACAAACCCUGUUUGAGAAGAUCCAAAUCUAUGACCAUCCAUACACUUCCGUCUCAUGCUUCAGGGACCAAAUCAAAAGCUGCUCUUAAUUCUUUCUAGGUUGGCAAAAUUAAGAGCAAAGGCCAUCUUCAAACUAUGCUUGGUGAAGCAUAGGCCUUGUUUGGUUGUGUGGCAUUGUUGGUGACUAAUAAAUUCCCAUCUUCUCCGCGGAAGCUUUUUUUUUUUUUUUUUUUUUUUGGGCGGGGACGGGGGGGACUGGCGGAAAGAUUUUGUCAAUUAGGUAAAACUACAGCAUUUUGAUAGAAGUAGAGAUCAAAGAAGUGACCACAAGAAUCAUCAAAAGCAGAUUUGCAUAUUUGGAAGAUGAGAAUGAGGUCUUGGGUAGAGGUAGCAUCCAUUUGCCGUCUGUCUUCUUCUCUCAUUUUCUUCCUUCAAAAACUUCAUACAGUACCCAAGGUUUGCCAGAUCGUCUUGAACCGCCCAAUUCAGGGCAUACUGCACCAAACCAACAGGAAACUAGGAUGAUUCAGCAUUUCAAAAUAGUAUAGAAGGUCCAUAAUGGCCUAGUUCACCAGGUCGAACCACCAAGACUCUUAUAAAUCCUCUCCCCACCUUUCCAUCAACCCCAAACCCAAACCCUCUCGAGCCUCUGUCUCCCCCCUCCCUUCUCAUAGACAAACAUUGAUGCCCGAUGACAUUCUAUCCUCUCUCCAAUCUGUCCACCUCGCUCUCCUGAGUUCGAUGGCCUGCUGCCCUACUUCGACUCCUCCACCAUUGCCAUGUCAACUACCAAGUCCCCUAGCCUGCCAGAACCCUUGUACCUUCCCCCAUCACCUCCUCUGUCGAGAAGUCUCUCUAGAUUUAACAUUAAAUGGCUGUACCGGCAUCGAACUGACACCAGACUACAUAGUACAUACCAUGUAUCAGUACGGUACCUGACUGCAUGGGUCAUGGUAUCGAUUCCGUGGACCUUGGCACUGCCUUUUUCUUUUUCCAACUCUGGUGGGUGCUAAAAAGAUGGAGCAACAAGAGUCUUGACCCAUUCUCUCCAAAGAGAAGAGGAAUGGUUUAAGUCAGCUUAAUAACUGAAUUCGAUGAUAAAGGCCACUCUCUUUCAAACGGAGUGGCAGAGUCCCUUAUCCGAGGCUUUUCUCCUAUAGAGACCUAAAGAGAGAAAAGAUAUUUAAAAGCCCUCUAUUUUUUAAGAAUUAGGUAAAUCUCAUACCACUAAUCGAUCCCAUUAGGUUGACAAUGGCACAUCCAGUUUCAGCUAGUUAAAGCAAAGAACAUAGGCCAUUGGAUCCAAAUAGAUGUACGAAGAUGCGAAGAAAAAUGUCCCAUGUAAAACUCGAAGAACUGUUGUCUUUCCAAAAUACCUAGGAUAGGUCCGACAGCAAGCCUCAAUAACCCGGCAUUGAUUGGCAACAAUGGCAGUAGGAUGACAGCUAACCAUAAAGUUGAAAAAUUUAACUUUGAAGGAUCAUUUUACGAACAAUAAAUCCCAACCUUUAUAGAAUGGAGACACUAUCAGUUUAUGUUUAGGGCUUUAGGCUUAAAAAGAUGACUUAGAGGAUAAAGGUAGAUGAUAAAAGGAGACAGCAUAAAACUUAAAAAUACUCAAAAUCAAGGAAAUGUUCAAAUUUCUUGUCUUUGCAGCAAAAUAAAGAAGCUAUGUAUUUGCACUAUUAGACUUUUAAAUUUACCUGGGCCUUAUAUUCUCUACGAAACAAAACCGGCAAACCUUUCAGAGAAGCUUUAGGUAUAGGGCAAGUUGGGUGAUGAGAAACUCAACUCAAUUAAGCCUUAAUACCAAACUAGUUGGAGUCAGCCACAUGAAUCCUUUUCCUCCAUUCCACUCUAUGUAGGGCAUAGUUGGGGAGGUCAACUUUAACUGGAAAGAUUAUCAUCUAUUAAUAUCUUUCAUAUUUAAUUUACUUAUUAGCCUAUUUAAGCCAAGAACUUGAGCACAUAUUUUGCACAUAAAUGACAUAUGAAAUCAGAUAGUAAAGAAAAAGAAAAGAAAAGAUGUGAAAGUGCUCUAUAAAUAAGAUUCUUAUUCACCAAUUUUGCAAAGCAUAGAGCUUAUUAAUUAUAAAAAUAUUGAACAGAUUUGUCAACUCCAUCAAAUCCAUUGAUAGAGAUAUUCAAAGAAACCUAGCAGCGGGACAUGUUGGAUGAAACUCAAACUAACCUAAUGCAUACACAUGUCUAAAUAAGACUCUUUCAGAUAGAGAAAUGCCUGCAAUAACAAACACACAAUUUCCCUAAUAAACUGGAAAUGAUCUAACAAAUUUUGAAACAACGUGUCAAUGACAAGACCCAACUGACCCCUCCAAAGUAGAGGGUGCCGACUAGCUCAAUUGGUAAAGUCGCUGGAUUUGAUGCUUGUGACAUGGGUUCAAAUCCUGCCCUCACCCAAGUCCUCCCAUCCUAGUUCUCAGAGAGAGAGAGAGAGGGAGAGAGAGAGUAUGUCACAACAUGGCCACAUAUGAAUGCCUAGUUCCAUUAGAAUAUGGACCUCUGAUAUGAUAGGUUUUGUUUGCGAUUGUAGCUCCACACCACUAUUAGUUUCUUUGUCUAGCUGGCCCACACAUUUCAACAUCAAAUACUAUUGAGUACCUCAAAUAUUGCUUAUUCUUGCAUAAGCUUCCUAGUGAAGACAUUAAAUAUUUUGUAUUUGAUCAUGUCUAAGCUCCCCUUUUUUUUGUUGUGAAUGUCUUCGCAAACAGGUGAC